rnacentral:lncRNA from 1 species
GGUUACCGUAUUGCUGGUGGCCCCCUCGGUGAGGUCACUGACCCAAUCUACCCAGGUGGCAGCUUCGACCCAUUGGGCCUUGCUGAUGACCCAGAGGCUUUUGCUGAGCUUAAGGUGAAGGAACUCAAGAACGGACGAUUGGCCAUGUUCUCUAUGUUUGGCUUCUUUGUUCAGGCCAUUGUCACCGGAAAGGGUCCAUUGGAGAACCUCGCCGAUCACCUUGCUGACCCUGUCAACAACAACGCCUGGGCCUAUGCCACCAACUUCGUCCCCGGAAAGUGAGCGUCAAAGAACGAAAUGACUUUUGAGAGUUUUUAGAUUUGUGUUUGGUGAAGUACUUCAGAUAAUGUGAAUUAUCUUGUGUAUCCGAAUCCAACUUAAUGUUACUUGCUUUUUACAAAACUCAAGUGUCAAUUUGUUCUCUCAUUUUAUACUUCUAAGCUUUUGACGCCACAUUGAAUUUGAACUCUAAUUGAACUAAAAAAUGUUUCCCUUCUCUCAUACUAAUACUAAUACUAAGCAGGGCCACUAAUAAUCACACAAAAGGAAAGAAACAAUAUGACAACAAAAUUCGACCAUUAUUAUCACUGUCAUCGAAUUCCAAUUUCUUCUCCUCACUAAAACAGGUAUGUAUAUGUAAUUGUAAUUUCAACAUCGUCACAUGUUCUUAAUGGAGUCUGAAUUUUGAAGUUUGAUGCUUGCUCCUGUUAAAAGGAUGUUAAAAUUAGACCAAACUUUAUUACCAGCAAUAGAAUCUCAUAUACGAGAAAGUACUUUGGGUUCUCCCAUCUUCCUUCACUCCAGUGGUAGCCAGAAUUGUCCCUCCCAGGAUAGCAGUGAACCAUCUCAAUAUUUCCCAAGAAUUUCCAAACCAUCACGACCCUUCUCAAACAGAUCACAUCACUACAUGUAACUGAGGCAACACCCCAUUUUCUUAUUACUCUUUAGCUUUGUUGUUUUAUUUUAUGAUAUUCAUCUUUCUAAUUGUUAUAUGCAAAUGCAAUCAGUUUGUUGAAAUUGCAUAAUGUGGUCUACAAAUAGCCGAACAAUGACAAGUUCUAUUAGUGAAUCUUAAUCUGAAAGUAGAACUUGUUUAGAAAAGUAUUUAAAUUUUUUAUUUUAAGUUUCAGAUUAUAUUUAAUUGGAAUUUAUUAUUGAGCAUGAAACUUUAGAGCCUUUACGACUGACGGAAAACUUGGAAGUUUCUUUAAUACUCCUGGGAGAGAGCAAAUUCCAUUGAUUACUGAAAAUGAGAAAAGAGUAGGAGAUAGAACAAGGGUUAGAUGAGUAAAACACUUAAAUGCCUACUUUAGGUUGAGGGAGGAUGGCAUCAGUGGAUUAUGGAUAGUGUAACUCUUUGCUUAUAGUUUUGUUAUUUUGCCUUAUUUCUUAUAAGAUGAUGAUUGCAUAGUGCUGUACUUUGUAAUUUCCCUGGUUUCCACCGUGCAGUUUUUACAAACAGUUUUUAUUAAUCCAAGAGUGGGGAGGGGGAGUGAAAAAGAAGAAAGAAAAAAUGCAACAAUGGACAAUCAAUUUUAUAUUAAAUGGCUGUGAAGGAAAGCUGAUAAUUCCGUACAUUUAUUGGAAAACUAGCAUGGAUAUUGGAUACAAUAAGGCUUUGCUGUUGUUAAAGACAAUAGUAAUGAGGCAAUUGGGAAGCAUUUGAUAUUUCUUCUUUAGAAAAAGCAGCUCCAAGGAGUGAUCGGUUGUGUUUACCAAUUAUCAAGACAGUGUUGUUUGAAGCUUCACAAGGGAAGAUAACACCUCAUUCAUAUUUGGUCGAUGUUCAGGAUCUGGGAGGGUGCAGCACAAUGAUAACUUAAUGAGCUCUGGCAACACUUCGUCAUGGUCAACAUCCCAGGUAAACAAAGGGUCUACAAUAUUGGCAAGUUGUUUUAUUCCAUUUUUAAGGGCUUUUGUCACUACUUCACGCAAAGUGAUUGGCAAACCAUCCUCUUUUUAGAGUCCUGUCGGCCUUCUUUUUGUUAGAAACUCCAUUACUAUGACACCGAAGCUGAACACAUCUGCUUUAGUGGUUACUUUCCUCAUGUAGGCAAAUUCUGAAAAUUACACAGCAUAAAUAUCUUGUUUAGAGAGUGAAACUUAUAAAAACUUUCGGGUAUACAAUGUUAAUAAGAUAAGAGGAUUCGAAACAAAGUGACAAAAUAAGAAGUUGUGUAAUUGUGCCAGUCUUGGUCAUGCUACCUUCUCUGAAUAGAACGAUAAAAUAUGGGAUCAUCAUAUGCAUUGAACAAAAGCAGCAAAUAGUCACAAAAACAUGUUACUCUUAAAAUGGUACUUUGUCAGAUUAAGGUAACAAGAACUAAAGUAUUCAUAUAGUUUGUAAGUUCGCCAAGAACAUAAUUCUGGUGAAAAUAUAUUAUACAUUGAAGAUAAGAGAUUAGCAAAGUAGAAAAGGCUUGUACCUGGUGCCAUAUAGCCCAAUGUGCCUUGCAAAGCUGCAGAUGAGGAAAGGGUACUACCAUCCUGCAGAUGAAGGCCAAGUAUUCGAGCUGUCCCAAAGUCACUGACAUGAGCUUCCCAAUCUCUAUCUAGAAGGAUGUUAGAAGGCUUUAACUCACAGUGUACAAUGGGAAAAUCAUAACCAGAGUGCAGAUAAUCCAAUGCACUAGCAAUAGAAAUGAAAACUCGGACUCUUUCAGAUAAUGUCCACCUAGAGAUCACAGACUCAUCUUUCCCUUUGUCAUGUAUUAUGCCAUCCAAAUUCCCAUUCUCCAUGUACUCUAGAACCAAAGCCUUCAUUUUCCCACUCUCCCAGGCAUAUCCAAGUACCUUAACCAAAUUCCUAUGUCUCAUCUGGCACAAGAUUUUGGCUUCCCUCUUGAAGAUCUUGUCAGUAUUUACAGAGAACUGUUGCAAAUUCAAUCUUUUUAUGGCAACAAACUGGUCAUCUUCCAUUUGACCCUUGUAAACUGUGCUCAAACUACUAGCACCAAUGAUGCUGUCAUAGCUGAAAAAACCAGUUGCAUUUUCCAAGUCCUUUGGAUUGAACCUUUUAAGUGGCAAUGCUGAACUGUAUUCUGGUCCAUGAUUCGCACUAAUAUCCCUUUCUUUAGAAUUGCAGAGUUUGAUACCUCUAUUGAGAAUUAGAAUCACCAAGACUAAUAAUAGUAGUAUAGCAAGUGAUCCAAGUGAAGCAAUAAUAGAUAUGCUCUUCUAAGUGAAGCAAUAAUAGACAUGCUCUUCUUGAAGUUAAAUCAAGAACCUGAAGGCCAGGAAUGUUUCCAAGGAAAGGUGAAAUCUCCCCUUGGAGCUGAAGACUAACAAAGGAAAUUGAAAUGACAUGAUUUGAAGAUGGAUCACAUGCAAUGCCAGACCAGUUGCAGUGGUGGUGAGUGUCAAGCCAAUCUGCAAGAGCCCCAUUUGGGUCAGCAGUAAUGGAGUUCUUGAAAGCUUUCAAUGCUUGAAUUUCAACAUCCAAGCUUGUUUCAGCAUGGGAACUAUGGAUACAAUGGAAAGGACUAUUACUAUAGUCAAAUUAAUCUUUAGGGACAACAUCACUUUUGGAAUUUGGUAGAAUAUUCAAUUGCAGUUUGCUGAUACAAAAUCUGGUGUGAGUGAAGCCUUUCUUAUAGAACUAAUGUUCAUUCAUCCACUAAUAAUUUCAAAGGCCUGGCCCCUCUAUUUGUGACAAAGUGCAUUGAAUGACUUGCAGGCAAGUCAAAUCAUUAGCAGUGAUUAAUGUUACUUAGGAAGAAAACCGUGAUUGUUUGGACAAGGACUGAAUGUCUUAAAUUUGACUUGUGAGGUCAUCCCAGUAUAACGAAACUGUUUGUAUCUUCUUCUGAUUUAGACUAUAACACGGCACGCCAAAUUUGAAUACUAUCCACUAAGGCAAAGGUUGAGGAGAGAGAGAGAACACAUGGUAGAUAUAAUAUGGCCAUCCAUAGCUCAAAAGCUAGAAACGAACAAAUAAAUAAGUUGUUUUUAAAACCUAGCACUCGGAGAUACCAGUUUAUAUUGUCAUAAAAGAAUUUAAUUAAAAUUGUUUAUAUUUUCAUCUAAUCAUAGAUUGUCAUGCAUGGUAUCAACGAGAGGGUCUGGAUCAUCUGGUGUGGGAUUGCAAUAACUUCAAAGUCCAUUGCAUUAUUAAAAUUAAUGCAUGCAUUGGAGGUAUUGUUUGCUUGAAGACAAACAAAAGUGACUUUAAAUUUAUUAGAAGUGCAAAGAUCUUUACAUAUCAAAAUUAAACUCAAAUAAAAUAUAAUCACGUACAUGCUUUUCACACAUUGCAACUUGCAUUUGGAUCAAUUCGUUGAUUUUACUAGACUUUGGUUGAAUUGUUGUAGCUACCAGUACUGGACGUCGAGUUUUGUCUUUUUAUAGUGCCUAGCAGACAGCAGUUUAGCAUUGGCAACUAAGAAUUUGAAAAUAUAGAAGCACUGAAGGAGUCGGUCAUAAGAAACAAAAGUGAGCAUGCAUGAAUAUCCGCAAACGCGGUUUGCAGCAAGUUGUGUGAUGAAGACAAGAAACAAGUUUGUUAUAGAUAGAUAAUGCGGCAUAUAUAAUUAAUGCCAUGCAAUGCAAUGCAAGUAGCGCAAAAUAACGGCCAAAAAGAUUUCAAGUGCGGAUUUGCCUUACUAUAUAUAUAUGAUUCAGGGGAUAUUCAUAUACUUAAACUGUUAAGUACAGUUAUACGUGCUUGGGAAAAGCCUUCACAUCUACUCCAAUUAAAUUCUAGGCUGUUAAUCAAUAAUUAUAAUCCUACUUUGUAUUCUGUUCUUGACAUCGCUCAAGCCUGGUUAGUCUAUAUAUUCUUUACUUCAGCAUAAAGACGAAGCUGAACAUAUUCUUAAGUAGCCAGACUGAGUUCACAAUUAAUAUUCAUAGCAAUAUCUUAACAGUGAUAGAGGCGAAAAUAAUUCCUUGUGGGAUACGUUAGUAGUUAGUUGGAUUGAAGCUUGUUCUAAGACUCAACAUAUAUUGCUGCUGUUCUGAACAUGAUUGCUUGCUCUAGGAAAAUGUAUAAAAUUUAUAGUCAAUCAAACAAUCACAUAGGAUUAUAGGGGUGACAAAUCGGGUUGAACCCUUCGGAUCAACCUAUGUUUUGCCUCUUUUUUUUGGUAGGAUGGAUUGAGAUUUUCAACCCUUCAACAUGCUACAAUAUGUCUUGUUUUGACCCACCAAAAAAUGGAUUGAAGGAAAAAUAUGAUGGACUAACUCGUUGACUAAGUUUUAUAUAUAAAAAAUAAUAUUUAUUUUGAUAUUUUAUACAUAUUUAUUAAUUUUUAAUUUAUUUUUUUUCUAAAUAAAUUAUUCAAAAUUUUAGAUAUCAUUUAAUUUUUUUAGAAAGUAUUUAUUAUUUAAUAUUUAUAAAAGAUAAAAUAUAUAUAUUCUUAUUAUUAUCAAUUUUUAGAGGAACAAACUUUAAACCACUGUCCUUGCACAAUAAUUUAUUUAGCGUAAAAUCUCGUGUUUGAUGUGUGUCGUGUGUAAAAAUUUUUUUGGGUCAAUGACAGUUAGACAUUCAUAAUACUAUGAGCGAGAUUAAGAUUAAUCUUCCAACUAAUAGGUUGGAAAAUAAUAAUAGAAGGAAAAAAAAUCAUGAAACAAACUUUAAACCACUUGAAGUGGGUGAAAUAUUAAUAUGCAAUCACUAUUUGACUUAAUUAAAAUUAGGGUUCCUAAUCAAUUGUUUGGUCUUGAAUAUUUAAAGUAAUUAUAUAUAAAACUAAAGAUAAAUGUUACCUUAAUUAUAUUUAAUGAUAAUUAUAAUAAUUACUUUAAUUAUGUCUCUAAAAUAAUCUAAUUAACUUAAUUUAAAAUAAUUUUAAUUACAUUAUAUACUAAUCCUAAUUAUAUAACUAAUUCAAAUUAAAAUAUACAUUAGUGAUAAUUAAUUUAAUUAAUAUAAUUAUGUAUUUAUAAAUAAAAAAUUGUGUUGCAUUACGGCAAAAAAAUUGAAUGUGAUGUUAACUAGUGGUAUUUGCUUAGGUAAAAAAAAACCUCUUCAUAUAUCUUUGCACGGUUGGUUAAUUAGACGUAAACUCAACUCUUCACGAUUGUAUGAUUUUCCUUCUUCUGAGUACGUAUUAGGAUAUUUUUUUAAUGGAGAAUAUUUUUAUUUAUCAGAAAGAAAAAAAGAAAAAAAUAUGAAGACAGUGAAAAUCAAAAUAAUUUCGCUUGGUGGUUGAUCGCGGACAACAAUUUGAUAGUAAGCAAAAUCAUGAAUAAUUAAUCUAAAUUUUUUUUAUAGAAAUUGUAUUUAGCUGUAAUAUUUUCUCUUCCAAGUAUAUAGGCAGAAAAAAACAUGCAUUCAUAUGUUCCUAUCGUACGCCAAAUGAUUUGGAUUAAAAAUUACUUGAUUUGAAAUAAAAAUCAGAAUUUGCAUGUUAUGCUGGUACAAAAUUGUUUACCACUCAACAAGCUCAAGAAAAUAGUUCACGAUUGCAAAGGAGAUAAAAACAUAAGUGUUAUAUAUAUAUAUAUAUAAAGAAAACAAAAAGAGAGACAAAAUUGAAUAACACUAUCUUCCCAAUCAAAUUUGUAUUUUGUCUAAAAAAUCAAUAAAUUUAAUCAAUUAGAGAGUGUUUGACUGAGUGUAUUAGAGGAUGUGUCCUUAACAUUUCUCUUAAAAAUGUAUUUUUUUUAUAGGUUUACUUAUUUUUUUAUUUUUAUGCUAGCUAUUUGCAUAUACUACUCUCUUGUUACAUUUCAACUGUUAACGCUGAGUUUUCUAAUUGAUGUGUUAAUAAUUGUUUUAAAACUGAUAGGUGACAAUUAUUCUCUGAUAAUAUCUUUUUUUUUUGUUUUUUAGAUAUAUUUGUAAAAAAAAGGAAGUAUAACAUAAAAUUUUAUUUUAUUACCAGAGUAAAAAGUGUAGAAGAGCUUUAGAGAUAUUUUUCUUUUUAAAGGAUAUGAUUUAUAUGCGUAUAAGAGGUUCUGAGAUAUUUUAUCCGUGAAAUAUAUAGUAAAAAAGAAGUGUAACACAAAAUUUAAAUAUUGAUAAAAUGUUAUCCUUAAAAUAGGAAAUUUUAUUCAUGGUAUAGAAAGUGUAACACAAAAUUUAAAUAUGGAUAAAAUCCUAUCUUUAAAACAGGAAAUACAUCCUAAAAUAACAUAAACAAAUUUAUAAUGUUUGACAUCUAAAAUAAUAUCCUAAAUAUUUGAAACAAAUAACAAAAUUUUAAAAGAUAAAUAAAUUAUUUCUUUCUAAACUAAAUAAAUAUAUAAAUAUGAGACAUAUUUGAAACUAUGUAGACCUCUAUAUAUACCCUGCCCAUUCACUCCAUAUUACAGCACCUAUAUUUUUCUCAAAGGGAAGCACCAUUUAACAUUUUACAAAAUUUCAAGCAAUGGCCAAAUCAGCUGGGUCACUUGUUGUCUUUCUCUCUAUUUUCAUUUUGCUCCUCUUUUGCAACUUGGGUAAUUUAUUUUUGGGUUGCACUUUUAAUGUUCUCUUCCAUGUGAAUUAUCUUUUUUAUAAUGUCCAUAAUUUUCAUAGAAUUUAUCUUUAUAAUAUGUAUGUUAACAUGACUUUUUUUUUAUAUUUCUUUUGAACUAAAUUCUAAUACCCACAAUGUAUAGAAUUGCAUAAACUUUAAUUUAUUUUUUGACCCUUUCUAAUGUGUUAUUAUUAUUUGGUUGAAUUGUUUAGGAGGACAUUUGAAGUUUGCUAAUGGAAUGGCUAAAAUUUAUCACCUUAAUUACGUAUCUUAAUUUUCAUGUAUAAAAAUUCAUGAAAGCUCAUAGUUUUUUUUUUUUUUUUAAUUUGGUGAUGGAAUAUAGGUAGGCCAAUAAAUUUGGAACGUAGCAAAACCUUCAACAAGUGAUGUUGAACUCAAUGAAAUCAUUGAAUAUAGUUGCAGUUCCUUGGGUGAUUGCAAAAUGAUCCAACAAGGUGGAUCCUGCUUCAACCCUAACACUCUGAUCAACUUUGCCUCUGUUGUCAUGAAUCAAUACUAUGCAACUAAUGGCAGCAACAUUUGAAACUGUUACUUCUCUGGUUAUGGUCUCAUUGUUGUCACCAAUCCAAGUAAGCUAGCCGAUUAUGUUAUAUUAUUAUAUUAUAAUUAUUUUUCGUUAAGAAAAUUGGUAGAAAUAUAACAUGUGAUUUAUUUUCAGAGAUUAUUAAAAAUGUUUUUAUUUUAGUUUUUUUGGGAUUCUGAGCUAGUUUUUUUUUCUUUUUCUUUUAUUUGCAGGUUAAGAUAACUGCAGCUAUGUUUAGCGGGGAUAAACCGGAAAAAGAUGUAUUAUUUAGAGAUAUAUUUACUAGUUAACUCUAUAGGUAUGUUUGAUUUCCAAAGUUAAUUCUUUAUUAGGUGAUGUAAGGAAUAAGAAGUUUAUUAUUCGCUAUUAUGGUCUUUUUUAUAUUUCAUGAAGAUUAGUACUUUGUUAUUUCAUUACCAGAUUACUUUAAUGGUUAUAUUGUUGUCUCUUUAUAGUCUCACACACAUCAUAUAUAUAUAUAUAUAUAUAUAUAUAUAUAUAUAUAUAUAUAUAUAUAUAUAUAUAUAUAUAUAUAUCGAUGAAACAUCAUUAAAUCUAGGCAAUUAGUCCACUGUCUCAAGGAUUAAAAAAUCAAAAUAUUAAUUUAUAGUCAAUCACACACAUAUAUAAUUCUAUAAGAUCAGAAAUAAUAUAAUUUUACAAGUGAGGAUGAGUUUUUUUUUUUAAAAAAAAGAAGAAAAGAGGAUGAGCUACUUUUAUUCUAGUAUAAUAAUAGUUCUUAUUUCUUUUUCCAUCAUAAGUCAUAGAUUACUUUUACCUUUCAUCACCAUCAAGCACACUUAUAAAUUGAGUUUUGAUCCAAUAAACAUAUAUGAAAGUACAUAUAUAUAGGGUGAUUCAUAUACCAUAAUUAAUAAUAUAAGGGUUAAUUAGGUAUUUAUUCCCCAACUUUAUUAAAUUUUCAUUUGUAGUCUCUCAAUCUUUUUUUUAUAAUUAUUAGUUUUCUGUUAAUUUUCCGUCAAAUAAUUUUUGUCUCUAAUUUUUCUUGUUUGUCGUUUAUUUUCCGACAAAUACUGCCAAGUCCCAUCUAGUAUCUAGUACUAUACUGCACCGCACUGUUUCGUCGUUGACAAAAUAAAAAGGAAAGAAACAAAUGGACAACAAAAUUCGACCUUUAUCAGUGUCAUUGCAUUCCAAUUUCUUCUCCUCACUAAAACAGGUACGUGUAUGUUGUAAUUUUAAUUUCAGCAUCGUAAAAUGUUCUUAAUGGAUUCUGAAUUCUGAGGUUUGAUGCUCGUUCAGGUUGAAAAGAGGUUAAAAUUAGACCAAACUUUACAACCAGCAAUAGAAUCUCAGAUACAUGAAAGCAUUUUGGGUUCUCCCAUCUUCCUUCAAUCUAGUUGUAGCCAGAAUUGUCCCUCACAAGAUAGCAGUGAACCUCCUCAAGCAUUCCUCUCAGUUUCCUAAGAAUUUCCAACAAUCCAUCAAGACCCUUCUCAUUUUUAAACAGAUCAUGUCACUCCAGCCAAUGAAGCUGAAGAUAAUGAUGAUGACAUUGAACAGUUAAUGCAGCUCUUGGGAUUAUAAGAGGUACAAGAACCAAGGGAUGAUGGUGAUUCAUGCCACUGUGAAGAUGGGUUUUAUGUAAAAAUUGUUGGUUUGUAAGGGCCAAAGUGUAGGAAGGAGGUGCUGAGGUUAGAUGGGUGGAUCAACCACUUUAUGAAUGGUGGUGGGGAGGAGAAGCAAGAACCCUUGAGAUUGGCACACCUGCUUUUAGGGAAAGCUGCUUUUAAUUCUGAUGGUGCUUUUGGAGAAUUGGACUUCCCUUCAGGCAUUCAAGAAUUUCUUCAUACUGAUCCUCCCUGUAAUUAAGGCAACCCCCCACUUUCUUAUUAUUACUCUUUUAGCUUUGUUGUUUUAUUUUAUUACAUUCUUCUUUCUAAAUGUUAUAUCCAAAUGCAACUAUAUAGAAACUUUAGAGCCUUUAUGACUUAUAGAAAAGUUGGGAGAUUCUUUCAUCAUGGCCCUAGGAAUCUUGAGCAAUUAAUGUUACAUUGCAUUGUUGUGAAGGAAGGCUGAUAAUUUCCAUACAUUUAUUAAAAAUUCAAGUCCCCUGCUAAUUUGUUAUCUAUUACUAAAAGAUUGUGUGCAUUUCAUCAUAAUUGGAAAACUAACAUGGACACGAUAAGACUUUGUUGUUGUUAAAGGCAACAAUAAUGUGGCAAUUGGGAAUCAUUUUGAUUUUUCUUCUUAACAAAGAGCAGCUCCAAGGAUUGAUUGGUGGCGUUUAUCAUUUAACAAGACAGUGUUGUUUGAAGCUUCACAAGGGCAGAUAACACCUCAUUUGUAUUGGGUCGAUGUUCAGGAUCAGGGAGGGUGCAGCACAGGGAUAGCUUAAAGAGCUCUGCCAACACUUCAUCAUGAUUUUUUGUAACAUUCCAAGUCAACAAAGGGUCCACGAUAUCAACAAGUUGUUCUAUUCCAUUUGCAAGGGCUUUUGUCACCACUUCAUGCAAAGUGAUUGGCAAACCAUCCUCUUCUGAGAGUCCUGUCGGCCUUCUUUUUGUUAGAAACUCCAUUACUAUGAUACCAAAGCUGAACACAUCCGCUUCAGUUGUUACUUUCCUCAUGUAGGCAAAUUCUGAGAAUUACACAGCAGAAAUACCUUGUUUAGAGCGUGAAAUUUAUAAAAAGACUUUGGGUGUACAAAGUUAAUAAGCUAAGAGGAUUGGAAACAAAGUUAUAUUUAAUAUUAUUUUCUUUAAAAAAACCAUGGGUAUGUAAAGGGGUAGUGUUCUCCAUGCUACUGUAAAUCUAAUAGCAAAUGUUUCUGCCUAUCAUUACUCACAAAUCAAUUAGCUAAAGUCACCAGUAGCAAAAACUGAUGGAAGCUCUGCACGCUAAUCUCAUGUUGAAAUGAUAGUCAGUAUAUUUGAUAUGCUGAUUAUGGUAAUGCAGUCACAAUAGUUCUACUUCAUUUUUUUGCUACAAUCAAUUAAUACUGAUCCACUGUGAAUUGUAAUCACUGCUUUAACUAAUAUAGCAUCUGAGAGGAGGGGGGAUAGUUGUAACAUGGACUAUUUAUAAGUCAAUGUUUUCAUGCAACAAAUUAUGCAAGUCUUGGUGAUGCUACCUUCUUUGAAAAGAACAAUCAAAUUUGGGUUCGUAUGCAUUGAAUAAAAACAGAAAAUAGACACUAACACACGUUCAAGACUUGAGCUCUUCUUUAUGUUAGUUUAGCUGAUUAGAACCAUUUAAGGUGUGGGAUUUACCCACCAUACAAAUCCAACAAGAACUAAAAUGUUCAUUUGAAUUGUAAGUCUGUCAUGAACAUAAGUGUGAUGAAAAUAUAUUAUACAUUAAAGAUGAGAGAUUAGCAAAAUAGGAAAGGGUUAUACCUGGUGCCAUAUAGCCAACUGUGCCUUGCAAAGCUGCUGAUGAGGAAAGGGUACUACCAGCCUGCUCAUGAAGACCAAGUAUUCGUGCUGUCCCAAAGUCACUGACAUGAGCUUCCCACUCUCUGUCUAAAAGAAUGUUAGAAGGCUUUAAAUCACAGUGCACAAUGGGAAAAUCAUAACCAGAGUGCAAAUAAUCCAAUGCACUAGCAAUAGAAAUGAAAACUCGGACUCUUUCAGAUAAUGUCCACCUAGAGGUCACAGACUGAUCUACCCCUUUGCCGUGUAUGAUGCUAUCCAAAUUCCCAUUCUCCAUGUACUCUAGAACCAAAGCCUUCAUUUUCCCACUCUCCCAGGCAUAUCCAAGUACCUUGACCAAAUUCCUAUGUCUCAUCUGGCUCAAGGUGUUGGCUUCUCUCUUGAAGAUCUUGUCAGUAUUUGCAGAGAAUUGUUGCAGAUUCAAUCUUUUUAUGGCUACAACCUGGCCAUCUUCCAUUUGACCUUUGUAAACUGUGCUCAAACUGCUAGAACCAAUGAUGCUGUCUGCACUGAAAAAACCAGUGGCAAUCUCCAACUCCUUUGGAUUGAACCUUUUAAGUGGCAAUGCUGAACUGUAUUCUGGUCCAUGAUUCGCACUAAUAUCCCUUUCUUUAGAAUUGCAGAGUUUGAUACCUCUAUUGAGAAUUAGAAUCACCAACACUAGUAAUAGCAGUAUAGCAAGUGAUCCAAGUGAAGCAAUAAUAGAUAUGCUCUUCUUGGAUAGUGAAUGUUUUGUCUCUCUGCAUUGUGAUAGGAACUUAGCUCCACAAAGAUCCUGGUUUCCUACCAUACUAGAUGCAUUGAUGUGUGCAAAAAUUCCGGAAUUGGGUACAGGACCUUCAAGUUGAUUGAAGGAAAGGUUGAGAUGCACCAAGUUGGAAAGGUUGGCAAAGCGCUCAGGAAUAGUUCCCUUCAAGUCAUUCUGAGAAAGAUCUAGGGAACUAAGAUGAUCAAGUUCUGCUAAUAUUUCAGGGAUUUCACCUUCUAGAUGAUUUCUUGAGAGGUUUAAGUUUUCAAGCAAGUCCAUGUGACUAAAAGCUUCUGCAGGAAUAGGACCUGAAAUAUUGUUUCCUGAAAAAUCAAGAUUGAACAGAUUUCUGCAUCCAGCAAGUGUUUUGGGAAUGAAACCUGAAAGAUUAUUGUUUGAAAUAUCAAUAGCUUGUAUCAUUCCCAACAUGCCCAACUCAGUUGGAACACUUCCAACCAAGUGGUUGUAAGAAAGGUUAAGAUACAUCUGCAUGUCUUUGAAGUGUGCAAUGACAUCUCUGGGAAUUGAUCCUGUGAGCUGGUUGUGAGAGAGAUCCAAUGAUAAAAGCUGAUUAAGCUUCCCCAUGCUUCUUGGAAUGGACCCAUCAAGUUUGUUGCCGUGAAGGUCUAAGAAUGAAAGCAUCUCAAGCUUUGAGAGAGAAUCGGGUAUUUGACCAACCAACUUGUUUUGAUGCAGCAUAAGUUCAGUUAGUUCUUUUAAUUCAGAGAGCUUAUCAGGUAUUGGACCUUCUAAUACAUUUGCAUAUAGAGAGAGCCCCUGAAGGUGAGAAAGUUUGGACAGUUCUGGAGGAAUUUGACCUGAAAACCUAUUUUCUGAAAGGGAUAAAGUGACGAGUUGAUUCAAGUUUCCAAUCUCUGGUGGAAUUGGUCCUAUGAAAGAAUUUGCAUUCAGCUGCAGGCGUAUGAGUUUAGACAGGUUCUGGAUACCUGAUUUUAUCAAUCCACUGAAGUUGUUCAUUGCCAAACUUAGAGUGCUAAGAUUUGAGCAGUUAUAGAGGUCAUCUGGGAUUUCCCCAGUCAUUUUGUUGGAUGUAAGAGACAGGAAAGUAAGAUUAGGCGACCUUGAAAAACCCUCAGGAAUUUUCCCAGUUAAAGCAUUAAAAGACAAACUUACAUUUACAAGACUAGUAAUAUUGGUAAUGCUAGAGGGAAUGGAUCCAUGAAAGUUGUUGGAGUUCAAAACAAGAAACUUCAAAUUAUGAAGCACACCCAAGUUUGGAGGAAGUUCACCUGAAAGGAGAUUCUGGCUCAUUGACAGAUAUGUCAAGUUUGUCAAGUUUGUUAUUGAUGAAGGGAUCUUCCCAGUAAAAGCAUUUGAAUGCAGGGUUAGAACCUGUAAGGAACUCAGAGAUCCAAUCUCAGAAGAUAUUGUUCCCUCCAAUAUAUUCUCUGAGAGUCCUAAAUGUGUUAACGAUUUCAACUGGAAAAUGGAAGAUGGAAUGGUGGAAUUCAAAUUAUUGUGAUAUAACCUCAGAGUCUCCAACCGAACUAAAUUUCCUAGCUCAGGAGGAAUACUUCCAAUAAACUGAUUUUCAUAAAACUCAAGGUUUAAAAGCUUGCUACACUUAGCAAUCUCGGAAGGGAUUUUCCCACUCAAGGAAUUUUGGAACAAUAGAAGGUAUUCUAAAUUUGUCAGAUUUCCAAUCUCUCGAGGUAUUACACCUGAUAACUUGUUCUGGCUAAAAUCAAGAGCUCGCAAAGCUACUAACUGACCUAUGGAAAGAGGUAUAGACCCUACCAAGUUAUUUCCAUAACCUAAAAUCUGUGUAGCAUUAACUAGAUUCCCAAUGUUUGAUGGGAUUCUGCCAGUAAGGUUGUUGAAAGUAAAAGCAAUUCCCAACAAAGAAGUGCAGUUGAAUAUGCUGUCAGGGAGGCUUCCAUUCAAGAAAUUGUUACCUAAAUCCAAAUACUGCAGGCUUUUAAGAUUUCCUAAUUCAGGAGGAAUAGGACCUGAGAGAGAAUUUUCAAAAAGAGAUAGUGUAGAAAGAUGAGUGCAAAAACUGAGCUGAGCAGGAAUGUAGCCAGUGAAUGAGUUUGAAGUUAAAUCAAGAACCUGAAGGCCUGAAAUGUUUCCAAGGAAAGGUGAAAUCUCCCCUUGGAGCUGAAGACUAACCAGGGAAAUUGAAAUGACAUGACUUGAAGAUGGAUCACAUGCAAUGCCAGACCAGUUGCAGUGGUGGUGACUGUCAACCCAAUCUGCAAGAGCCCCACUUGGGUCACCAGUGAUGGAGUUCUUGAAAGCUUUCAAUGCUUGAAUUUCAACAUCCAAGCUUGUUUCAGCAUGGGAAACUAUGGAUACAAUGGAAAGGACUAUGCCUAUAGUCAAACUAAUCUUUAGGGACAACAUCAAUGUGGAAUAUGGUAGAAUAUUCAAUGGCAGUUUCCUGAUACAAAAAAAAAUGGAGUGGAGUCUUUAUAGGCAGUUAAUGUUCAUUCAUACACCAAUAAUUUCAUAAGGCAUGGCCCCCCAUUUGUGACAGAGUGAGUUCAAUGACAUGUAGGCAAGUCAAACAUUAGCAGGGAUUAAUGUUACUUAGAACAAAAACCGUGAUUGUUUGGACAAUGACUUAAUAUCUUAAAUUUGACUAGGAGGUCAUCCCGGUAUAACGAAACAGGUUGCAUCUUCUACUGAUUGAGACACUGCAUAGAACAGCCAUGUCAAACAUAAAUACAUACGUAUCGGCAAAGGUUUAAGAGAGAGAAAGAGUACACGAGGUAUAUAUAUAUAUAAUAGGCUAUCCAUAGAGUUCCAAAACUAGAAAUAAAUAGAGUUAGUAUGUGUUUGGAUAUGCGUCUGUUACGCACGUCUUCCCCUAAAAUCACGUCAAAUUGACUCAUUUACGUGAAAGUUAGGAUUUGUAGAUUCUGCAGAACAUGGAAAGAGAAUGUAUACGCGAAUUGGAUAAUCGUAACCAAACAAUCACUUAGAUUAUUCCAGCUUAAAGUAGGGUCUUAUUCUAAUCUUAAAUAUAUAAUUGCGUUAAAUAUUUAAAUUGAAAAUUUUAUCGCUCACAGUGAUUUUAUUUUAUAUGAAUAAAAUUAUUUCUGGUAAAAAAAUACUUGUAAUCUCAACAAAAGUAAACAUAUUUUUUUAAUACCUAAUAUUAGGAAAAACUGGUUUAAUAAAAUGCAACAAUUAAAAAAAAUAAGACUUCAAUUAAAAUUCAUUACAUUAUCACCUAAUCAUAGAUUCUCAAAUUAUUGAUUUUUGCAAUAAUUACUUUAAAAACUUAUAUUUAAAAUGGUUUUUAAUUACUUCAGUGUGAACAUCUUUAAUGUAUUAAUAUAUUAAGGAGUUGAGCGUGACUAGUAGAGCAAAUGAUGUGUAUUACAAAAGCUGCUAGCAGAGUCGGCCAUGAGAAGCAAAAAGUGAGAAUGCAUAUCGGUAAACGCGGUUUGCAACAAGUUGUGUGAUGAAGCCAAACAAAGCAAGUUGCUAAUAGAUAAUGGCAAAUAUUUUAAAUGUGAAGUCGUGAUAUUGAAUUCAGACGUGUGGACUGGGUUGAACCUAUCACGAUCCAGCAAAUUAAUCUCUCAAGUGGCAAAUUUUAUAUAUCAUGUAAUACCUUUAUAUAUAUAUAUAUAUAUAUAUAUAUAUAAUGCUUUUAGGUUGGAUGAGGAUCCUCUAGAAUCUAGAGUUGUGACUUGCGAGUGUGUGUUUGAGUUUACAUCCAGACCCACAUUAAAAUACUAAUUCUUAAUUUGAUUUUAGGUAAAAUGUUUACCUUGCAUUUAAAAAAAAGAGGGUUAAUGUUUACAAAUUUAAUUUGAUUUUACUUUGAGAAAUUUAGUUGAUACAGCUUUAGGUAAUUUUUACGUUAAAUUGAAAUUUCUAUAUCAAGUUUUACUGUUAAUCAAUUUAAUUCAAAAUUCAUUUUCAAAAACAUUCGCUCAAACUCACAAAAAUUGUCAUGAUAAUGAUGAUAUGCAUGUUUUCAUUUCCCCGGUAAUUUUCUUUAACCAAUCCCCCACAAAUUUUACUAUAAACUUGCUUUUUUAAUAUAAAAAAUUAAUACAUAAAUCUCAUCAUUUAAAAAUUAAUCUCAUUCAAAAUUAAUAUUACAAACCUUAACUCUCAAACUCACAAACAACUAGUCACGAUGCACCUUUUCAUUUCCUGUUUAAUUUUGAUUUAAAAAACAACUUAUUUUAAUAAAGGCCAGAUAUCUUUUGCAGUUCAAAAAAUGCAGAGAAUCGCCAUCUAUGAUUUUAACCAUUAGUCCAUUACUAAUUAAAAUUAAAUCAAGUGCGUGAACUUAAAUAGAAAAGAAAAAUUGUCUUUACUCUUUUUUUCUUAAUUCAUAAUAUUUAUUUUGAAUUAAUUAAUUAAUUUCAAUUGAGUAAAAUUUAACAGCUUAUAAUAUAGAGAAAAAGAAAAUUGAUAUGUUUUAUUAUAUUUAGUGUUGAAGUAAAAGAAGGUAGAUGGUACAUGGAGCAUAAUUUUACGAAAUAACAAAAAAAUCAUUAUCCAUCCCAGAUAACAAUUUAUUCUGUCAAUUUUUUAUGCGCAUGAUUAUAUAAAAAUGAACUGUAGAUAAAGGAAAAUCAUGGUUUCUGUAAUUUUAAUGAUAAGACAAAACUCUUUACUAAAAAGAGUUUGUUCGACAAGUUGCAAAAAUAUGAUUAUUUGAAAGAAUAAAAGUGGGAUAAUACGCAGUUUCCUUUGUAAACAACUUUUAAAUGAAUCCCACCAAAUAUGGCUAUGUUAUGUAUUUCCAUUUUUUGUACUCACUUGCGUAUCAAUUUCACUGAAUAGGGUUGUUUAACUUAAAAUUUAUAAAUAUAUAUGAUUAAUUAAUUAAUUAAUUAACAACUUUUUUCCCAUAAAUAUUAAAUAAUGAGCUAGUAGCAAUUUAUUUUUUAUAUCCAAAUUGUAUUACAAAGGAUGCAAGCAAACCCUGAAACCCAUGUAGAGUUACCAAUUCACAGGACAAGUGUACACACCACCAAGAUUAAUCUAUAUAGGCCAGGGGAUAUCUACAGCUACCAAAAUAAAAUAGAGCCUUUCUUUUCAGAGAUUUAGAAACACGCCACUUUUAGGACCUGACACUAUAAUAAAAUCGCAAGGUUCAUUUCUAAAUAGGGUUUCACACAUAAGAGCCCAAAAAACUAUAUAUUUUCUUCAUUAGAGCCCAAAGAGACUGAAUGGCACAGCUUGCCAAAUCAGAAUCAGCACGAUUUUUCUUUAGCCAUAAGAUGGUAGCAACAAGGAGAUGCGAUCCCAAGUCGUCUAAACGCUCCACACGGUGCGGAGACAUUGGCAAUGCAAGAAAUCCAUCAAGCACAAAUGGAACAAUUACACAAGAAAAUUGAGGAUGACUUAGAGGUCUCAAGGUAAAAUUAUCACUGCCACAUCUCUUUCUUUCUUUCUUGAUCUUAUUUUAUUAAGUGUGUAUUCUUUCUUUUGCGAAUUUUUUUUCCGAGUUGAUUUGACUUAACUGGUGUGUUUCCUCAAGCAAACGCCCUUUGUCCCAAAAUUGUUUUUAAUGUUUUGAGGCAAUUUCUUUGUUUACAUCAAUGGGGGUUUCUUUAAACCAUAGUUUUGGAAUUUUCGUUUUAAAUUGUUUGCCUUUUGGCUACAUUGUUUGGUUUUGCAUUGUCUGGUUCUUCUUUAUUCAAGAACGCACGAUCUUGUGCAAGAAUAGGUAUUGGGGUAUAUAUAAAUCCUAAAAGGUUGGCCCAGACCAUGAAAACAGAAAAACACUGAUGCUACGAUGAGAUGAAUUCUUUAUUCAUCGCUUGAAGAAGGAUGCUAUCUUUCAAUGUUGUUAAUGGUGGAUGGCGAUUCAUAGCGGAAAGUAAAAAAUCCGUCAUAAAAAUAUGGCAGAUACAGGGAUUGGGAUCUCUUAAGCUACACUUUCCAGAUGUACCUGUCAUGGCAUUGACUGCCACUGCAAGGCAUGCAGUUCGUGAGGUAAUCAGAAUAUCAAAUCACCUUUAGAUGGUUUUUAUUUUUUAGGACAUCUUGAAGGCUUUAAGAAUUCCCCAUGCACUUGUUCUUGAAAGAAGCUUUGACCGACCAAAUUUGAAAUAUGAAGUGAUUGCUAAGACAAAGGAGCCAAUAAAGCAGCUUGGACAGUUACUAAUUGAUCGCUUCAGGAAUCAAUGUGGAAUUGUUUACUGCCUUUCAAAAAGUGAAUGUGUUGAGCUCUCCAAAUUAUUGAGUGAGAAAUGCAAGAUCAAAACAGUGUAUUAUCAUUCUGGCUUGUCUGCCCACCAGAGAGUAGCCGUUAAAAAAAAAAUGGUAAUGAUGGAGAGGUCCAUAUUGUAUGUGCAACUAUUGCUUUUGGAAUGUGGAUAGACAAACCUGAUGUUGUAAGUUGUGCUACAUCUUAAAAUUAUAAUAAUGCUGUUAUCAUUCACAAUUUCAUGAUCAACUUUGUUUAGGAAUUUUACACUUCAAGAAAGAAAUUUCAUCCUUCUCUGUAGAUAAUUCCAUGACUUGAUAGUUGAUACUUAUUGAUCACCAGUCUGCUGACUAAGAAAUGCCCUGGACAGCCUUUUUGUAAAGCCACAUCAUUACCAAAAACCUUCCUCUCAACCUCUCUGAACUUUACACAGGAAGUUCUUUUCCAAGCCAUUUUUUCUUGAUUGGGUUAACUAAAUUUCAAAUAAAAAUGAUAAUUCCUACAAUUAUUCAAAUCCCUAGUGAUCAUCUUAUAAUCUUAUUCUUAUCCAUCCUUCCCAAGUGCAUAAGUUGGAAGUAUAAACCUACUGCCUUGUAAACUUAAAUGUAAUAUGUAUACGUUAGUGCAGAACUUGCUUGGCUAGGGAAAAUGUAGACACUUUCAAAUAUAGGGAUCAGUUCUAACAGCAAGAAAUUCUUAUUGGUAUCCUAAAUUUAUAGAUUUUGUUACUCAAAUUUUCCUUUUUAUUGUCAUGUUUUCAGCGCUUUGUCAUCCACAAUACAAUGUCAAAAUCAAUUGAAAGCUAUUAUCAAGAAUCUGGAAGGGCUGGAAGAGAUAAUUUUUCUUCAGUUUGCAUUGCUCUACACCAGAAGAAAGAUUUUAGUAGAGUUGUAUGCAUGAUAAGAAAUGGCCAAGGAUAUAAAAAGGAAAGUUUUAAGACAGCAAUGGCUCACAUCUAUGUACUGUGAAAUUAAGGUAAUCAAGCUCCUUACAUUUCAACAUCUAUUUGUUUUUUACUUUUUUCUCUCACAUCUAUGGUCAGUUUAAUACCUUUGAAAAUGGAGUUAAAAAGAAUAAUGUAUGAGUUCUCGAUAUAAGUUUUCAUAUAAAAAUCAUCCAUAAAUUGUUCACCCGUGUUUUUAACGGUGUAACAAACUGGCGACUAGUGCAGAAAAGUGUUAAUCCCCAAGACUUUUUAUAUUUUAUCCUUGUUUGUAUGGGUAGGCUGAAUGCCGGAGACAAACUUUACUCAAACAUUUUGGAGAAUCUUUUGAUAGAAGAGACUGCAAGUAUGGAUCUAGCCCCUGUGAUAACUGUCUCAAGACUGUAUUGUGAGUAGAGAUUGGAAUUUAACAUUUAAUUGUUUAAAAGUGGAGGAAAAAAAGCAUAAAUAGAUGAUAAAAGUUGGGUGGGAUUCUGUUCUUGAUAGAUAUGAUAUUUAUGUCAUGACUUCAGACUUUAGACCAGGAACUGAAUACAAUGAUGGAAUUUCGAAGUUCUAAUGGGUCUAUAGGUUUAUUCCUCAGGCUUCAGGUGCUGUUUAUUUGGGAAGGAGGGGGUGUCGGAUUGAUAGUUACAGAUAAAUGUUCUUCUGAAAUAGUUUACAUAACUAAUUGCUAUGUUACAAUGGAUUUUUCAGCAAACUAGUGCUGUGGAUUAAAUCAGACGAGGAAUCAAGAGAUCAGUGUGGCAGACUAAUUCAAGAAAGAAAUUCAAAGCAAAGCAAAAGUGAUGCUAUGAAACCAAAGAAACCUCUUGCGGCCUUCUUCUUGCUCUUGUACAGAAGCUACAUUUGUUCCCUUUUUCUUUAUUUAUUCUGGUUACAUGUGAUCUUUUAUGAGGUUUAGUUAUUCUUUGUGUUAGAAUUGUUUGGGGAAAAUGUUAAUUUUAUCAGAAUUUAGCUAGUUUCAUGUAUCCGUUUUCUAGAUAUCUGCCAUAUCCAUAGCUAGCUUUGUAUAUUUUGAGUUUCUAACUUGAAAGGUAGCAAAACACAAGACAUGAUUUUUUGUAAUAAUUUACCCUUGGAAGUAAUGUCAUCUCUAAAGUAGAUGGGAUACAUUCUAUUUCAUGCAUUUUUAUACUUUUCAAUGUAUGCAGGAUUCUAUAGUAGAAUAUUGUUAGCUUCAGAGCAAUAAUUUUGAGGAGGUCAUUAUUUGAUGUUAGCAUAUAUAUACAAGUCAAUUUUAAAUGCAUUGCCGAAUCAUGUUCAAGAGACCAUUCAUUUUUAAACAGGAUGAUUAUUGUGACAUUUAUACAUGAUUUUCUUGUGAUAGUUUCCUUUCCUUGCUUAUAGCUUGUUUUAUUGUUCUAUGUUCAACUUCAAUAUAUUGCCUAUUUACUUUAUAUGUAGUACUGCCACUGAACCUUGCAUAGUGGCUAUAUUUAACUACCAACGGCUUCUUUCUUGUAUGAAAAGUCUUAUCCUCAAAUUUAUUAUUUACAGGAAGUUCUUUUUCGUUCUGAAGGGAAGAUUUUCAUAAAGAAUUUCAAGAGUAGAAUCUUGAUGUAAAGUCAAUGGGUGAUGUAUUUGUAGAAUUUCAUCCUAAUUUAAACUAUUUUAUAGAAACUGAGACACAUAUCCUCAUUGUAUCACAUGAUGUUGGUAGCACACAUAGUUUUCAUAUAUUUUUAGUUUAAUUGUAUUUUUUUACUAUCAAUUUUUUAAUUUUUGACGAAAUUUUAUUCAUAAUUUUUUAAUUUAACAUGUUUUACUUAACUUUUUAGAAUUUUGUAAAUUUUAUUCUGUCAUCUAUUCAUUAAUAAACACAAAAGUUGAGUGUAAAACUUGUCUAAAAGAUUAGGGAUAAAAUUCACUAAAAAUUAAAAUAUUGGGAUAAAAUUUGUCUAAAAUAAUGAGUCAUCGGUAAAAAGUUUAAUUAUGUUAGUAGUAAAAUAUCAUAGGAUAAAAUUUACAAGAUUCUUAAAAGUUGAGGGUAAAAUACAUCAAAUUAAAAAAUUAGGAUGAAAUUCACCCAAAAUUAAAAAGUUAGAUAUAAAAGGUGUAAUUAAACCUAUAUUUUUUAACAAAAAAAUAUCUAUCAAUAUAAGUAUAAUUUCAUAUAAUACAAAAAAUAAGUUUUAAAAAAUUCAUUAAUUAAUGCAUAAAAAUAUACAAUAUUUGAUGGGGUGUGAUUAUGGAAAUAUAACUUAAAACUCAUUUAAAAUAGUUGAGUUUAAUUUUAAAACUUAGUUUUUACCUUGUCAAUAAAACAGUUUAUUUCAAAAAAGUUUCAUAAUAUUAUACAAAUAAUUUUUUUUAACUAUUACAAUGAUCUCUAUUGUCAUGAAAGUAUCUACUUGUCUCUAUAAACACUAAAAAUCUACUUAUGCACAAAAAAAUUAUUGAAGAAUUUUAAUUAAGUCCUUGUAUUUAUUAAGUUUUUAAUUAAAUCCCUAAACUUUUAAUUUUUUUUAAUUGAGUUCUUGAACAAACACAUUUUUAAAUCUUUUUAAUCGAGUCCGUGAAUACAUUUUGUUAGAGCCUCCUUGAUCUUAUUGAAAAUUUAGAAAUACUAAUUUAUAAUACAGGUGACUACUCAAUACUCAAGUUUAACUAUUAAAAAUUAAUUCUUUUACAAAACCCUAAUAAAAAUAUGGUAGAACCUAAUUAAAAAAAAAUGUAAGUUAAAGGACUUAAUUACAAUGGGUCUAUAGGUUUACUCUGGCUUCAGAUGUUGUUUUUUUGGGAAGGAGGUGGUGUCAGAUUGAUAGUUACAAAUAAAUAUGUUAUUCUAAAACAGUUUACAUAAUUAAUUACUAUGUUACAAUGGAUUUUUCAGCAAACUAGUGCUGAGGAUUGAAUCAAACGAGGGAAUCAAGAGAUCAGAGUGGCAGACUAAUUCAAGAAAGAAACCCAAAGCAAAGCAAAAGAAGAACAAACAAAUGUUUGAUGCUAUGAAACCCAAGAAAUCUCCGUCAGCUUUCUUCCCCCUUUUUUCUUUAUUUAUGCUGGUUACAUGUAAUCUUUUAUGAGGUGUUAGCUAAUCUUUGUGUUUCUCAUGUGUUAGAAUUGUUUGUGUUUCUAGAUAUCUGCCAUAUCCAUUUCUAGCUUUGUAUAUUCUGAGUUUCUGAUAUAUUAAGCUCUCUUGGAAGGUAGCAAAAUAUUAGCGGUUCUUUAUUAGAAUGAACAACCUGUGACUGAUGUUAUAUGCUUACUUUCUUUUGCCAUCUGACUGAUCCUUGUAAUAAUUUGCCUUUGGAGGUAAUGUCAUCUCAAAAGCAGAUGGGAUUCAUUUCAUUCUAUUUAAUGCAAUUUUACUUUUCAAUAUAUGCAGGAUUUGAUAGUAGAAUAUAUUUAGCUUUAGAGGCAUAAUGUUGAGGAGGUGAUUAUUUGAUGUUAGCAUAUAUACAAGUCAAUUUUGAAUGAAUCACCACAUCAUGUUCAAGAGAAAAAAAAAAACCACUCAUCUAAACAUGAUUUUCUUGUGAUAGUUUCCUUUCAAUGCUUCUAGCUUUUUUUAUUGUUCUAUGAUCAACUUCAAUAUACUGCUAUUUACUUUAUAGUUUAUAUGUAGCACUGCCACUGAACCUUGCAUAGUGGCCAUAAUUUAACAACAAACUGCUUCUUUCUUAUAUGGAAAGUCUUAUCUUCAAAAUUAUUAGGUUUACUGGAAGUUCUUUUUCUUUCUUAAGGGAGGAUUUUCGUAAAGAAUUUCAAGAGCAGAAUCCAGAUAUAAAGUCAAUGUAUGAUGUAUGUGUAGAAUCUAUUCUAUUAGUAUUUCUUCUAAUUUAUUUUAUAUUUUUAAUUGCUCAAGAAUUUCAAGAUUGUUCCAUAAUUGAUCAUUUACAAAUUUUAAAUUUCUUAAAAGCCAAUGCAACAUAAAAGUUAGUCAUCAAUUUUUAAAUUUUGCCUGUUUUAAGAGUUAGUGAGAAGUUUUUAUACUUCUCUAUCAUUAUCAUUUGAAAAUUAAUAUAAUUCUUUUGUGUUUUAUUCUUCCCUUUGUUCAUUCAGAUUGGCAAGGCGUGUGGAGAGAAGUGGAAAACAAUGACUUAUGAGGUUAGUUUUCUUUUGCAGCCUCUCCUUGCGUCCUCUAAUUAGAAUUUUGGGGUGAACUCAGCUUUAAUGCAUAAUUAGAUUAAGAUACUAUGGUACAGACUAUAAUCUUCAAUUGGGUACAUGAAAUUUAGCUCGGUUCUUCAGUUUUAGAAAAAUGGUAUUCGGAAUUGAUCACCAAAAAAAAAAAACACGAAAUCACCUCUAGCUUCUUGCAUUGUUAAAUGGCGGUGCCAUGGCAAAAUGGCAGAGCAGAUUUUAUGGUAGAUAACAUCGAUGAAACUUUGGUCUUUAAUCGAUCUGAAUGGCAUCAUGUAAUCCAUGUAGCUGACCUCAUCGAUUAGGACAAGGCUUUGUUGCUGUUGUUGCAAGGAUGAGAUAGUGUGGGGUUUUAUAGAGCCUUGGGUUCCCCAACUACAACACCUACAUUUGCUUAUCUUCAUCCAAAUCAAUAUAGUGUUAGAGUUUGUGGUCUUAGUUUAAAGGAAUUAGUGGGAGUCUUCUCAGUUUAGAGGAGGCAGUGGGAGCAAUGGCAUUAGAAGAGGGGAAGGUGAAGAUCUAGUGUUAUAUAUAGAGACACCUUGUAAGCUUUUAUGUGCAAGUAAUAAAAAGUUCUCCUAGUGUAGCCGUGGACGUAGCCACAUACAUUGUGUGCUGAACCACGUUAAACUGUGUGUCUUUUUCUUUCUUCCCUUUAUUUCUUUCUCUUCUUUUAUUGCUCUAUACUAACAACUGGUAUCAGAGCUUUUGGUUACUCCACGGGAUUUCCUUAGUUUAAAGGAAUUAGUGGGAGUCUUCUCAGUUUAGAGGAGGCAGUGGGAGCAAUGGCAUUAGAAGAGGGGAAGGUGAAGAUCGAGAAGUUCGAUGGCAGAGAUUUCAGCUUUUGGAAGAUGCAGAUAGAAGAUUAUCUAUAUCAGAAGAAGCUGUAUCAGCAUGAAGCAAGAAGAAUGGAACUUGCUAGAUCGACAGGCUCUUGGCGUGAUCAGAUUGACAUUAGCCAAGAACGUCGCGUUCAACAUCGUGAACGAGAAGACUACUGCAGGCUUAAUGAAGGCAUUAUCAGAUAUGUACGAGAAGCCGUCAACAGCCAACAAAGUAUACUUGAUGCGCCGGUUGUUCAACCUCAAGAUGGGAGAAGGUAUCUCUGUAACUGAUCAUAUUAAUGAGUUUAAUACUAUUCUAGCCCAAUUGGAAUCUGUGCAGAUUAAAUUUGAGGAUGAGGUGAAGGCAUUGAUUCUAUUGUCAUCACUACCGGAUAGUUGGGCUGCAACUGUUACUGCAGUUAGUAGUUCUACAAGGGAGAACACAUUAAAGCUUAGUGACAUCCGUGACUUGAUCUUGAGCGAAGAUGUUCGCAAGAGAGAUUCAGGAGAAUCUUCCAGUCAUGUUUCCAAUUCAGCAUUGAAUACUGAAGGCAGGGGAAGGACUACCCAGAAGGGUCAGAAUGGUCGAGGCAGAUCAAAGUCAAGAGGGAAAGGUCAGAGAAAAUUUCAAAGUGACGUUACUUGUUGGAAUUGUGACAAGAGAGGUCACUUUAGCAAUCAGUGCAAGGCACCAAAGAAGAACAAGUCGCACAAAAACAAGAAGCGCGAUGAUGAUGAAUCCGCAAAUGCAGCAACUGAUGAACUUGAUGAUGCAUUAAUUUGCAGUUUGGAUAGUCCUGUUGAUUCAUGGAUCAUGGACUCAGGUGCGUCGUUCCACACUACUCCCUCUAAAGAUUUAUUGUCUAACUAUGUUUCUGGAAGAUUUGGAAAAGUUUACCUUGCAGAUGGAAAAUCUCUUGACAUUGUCGGAAGAGGUGAUAUCAACAUCAAGACCUCCAGUGGAUCCCUAUGGACAUUGCACAAUGUCAGACAUAUUCCUGCCUUAAAGAGAAAUUUAAUAUCUAUAGGGCAGUUGGAUGAUGAGGGACAUCACACCACUUUUGGAGAUGGAGCUUGGAAGGUAACAAAAGGCAAUCUCAUUGUGGCUCGUGGAAAGAAGCGAGGAUCUCUUUACAUGAUUGCAGAUGAGGAUAUGGUAGCAGUUACUGAGGCUGUCAAUAAUUCAACCAUGUGGCAUCAAAGACUUGGACAUAUGAGUGAAAAAGGAAUGAAGCUUAUGGAGGCAAAGGGUAAGCUAUCAAGCCUCAAGCAUGUUGAUGUUGGUGCUUGUGAACAUUGUAUCCUUGGAAAGCAGAAAAAGGUCAGUUUCUCAAGGACAGGGAAGACUCUGAAAGCUGAAAAGCUAGAAUUGGUGCACACAGAUGUUUAGGGGCCAGCCCCAGUGAAAUCUGUUGGAAACUCACGCUAUUAUGUCACCUUUAUCGACGACUCUACCAGAAAGGUAUGGGUUUAUUUUCUUAAAAAUAAAUCUGAUGUGUUUUCUGUGUUUAAAAGGUGGAAAAAAAAAGUUGAAAAUCAGACAGGUCUAAAGGUUAAAAGUCUGAAAUCUGACAAUGGUGGGGAGUAUGAUAGUCAGGAGUUUAAAGACUUCUGUUCAGAACAUGGGAUCAGAAUGAUCAAGACAAUACCAGGAACACCUGAGCAAAACGGUGUUGCAGAAAGGAUGAAUAGAACCUUGAAUGAGAGAGCAAGGUGUAUGCGGAUCCAAUCUGGCUUGCCUAAAGCAUUCUGGGCAGAAGCAAUAAACACAGCAGCAUAUCUCAUCAAUAGAGGACCAUUAGUUCCUUUGAAUUAUCAGUUGUCUGAAGAAGUAUGGUCUGGAAAGGAGGUAAAACUUUCACAUUUGAGAAUUUUUGGUUGUGUUUCAUAUAUACUGACAGACUCUAAUAGUAGAGAUAAAUUGGAUCCGAAGGCAAGGAAGUGUUAUUUUAUUGGUUAUGGAUCUGACAUGUAUGGCUACAGGUUUUGGGAUGACCAAACCAAGAAAGUUAUCAGAAGCAGAAAUGUUACUUUUAAUGAGAACUUAUUUUAUAAGGACAAAUUUUCUGCAGAAUCUACAUGUGCAGGUAAACUGUCAGAAAUUUCUGAGAAAGCAACACUUGAAGAAAUCUCAGAAAGUGAUGUAGCCAAUAGAAACCAGAGUACAGGCGUAGAGGUUGAGUCAGAACCAGAACCAUCAACUCCUCCAAGAAAAUCUAGCAGAAUUUCAGUACCACCAGAUAGGUAUUCCCCUUCAUUGCAUUAUUUGUUGUUAACUGAUGCUGGUGAGCCAGAAUGUUUCAAUGAGGCUACACAGGGGAAUGACACUAUUGAGUGGGAGCUAGCGAUGAAAGAUGAGAUGACAUCCCUUCAGAAGAAUAAGACGUGGUCUUUAACUAAAUUGCCAGAAGGAAAGAAGGCAUUACAGAAUAGGUGAGUCUAUAGGCUAAAGGAAGAAUCUGACGGUAGAAGAAGAUACAAGGCGAGACUUGUGGUGAAAGGGUUUCAGCAGAAACAAGGAAUUGAUUUCACAGAGAUCUUCUCUCCAGUUGUAAAGAUGACUACCAUCAGAGUUAUUCUGAGCAUAGUAGAUGCAGAGAAUCUUCACUUGGAGCAGUUAGAUGUUAAAACUGCAUUCUUGCAUGGGGAUUUAGAGGAAGACAUCUAUAUGACCCAACCAGAAGGUUUUGAAGUGCCAGGCAAGGAGAAUCUUGUAUGCAAGCUUCACAAAAGUUUGUAUGGCUUGAAACAAGCACCGAGGCAGUGGUACAAGAAGUUUAAUGAGUUUAUGAGCAACUCAGGAUUCAAAAGAUGUGACAUGGACCAUUGCUGCUAUGUUAAAAAAUAUACUAAUAGUUAUGUUAUCCUUGUUGUGUAUGUUGAUGACAUGUUGAUUGCAGGAUCUAGUAUGGCAGAAAUUAACAGGUUGAAGCAGCAGUUGGCAGAAAACUUUGAAAUGAAGGAUCUUGGUCCAGCUAAACAAAUCCUUGGUAUAAGAAUUCUUAGAAACAGAUCAGAAGGAAUUUUGAAGCUGUCUCAGGAGAAAUAUAUACACAAGUUGCUUGACAGGUUUUACCUUGGAGAUUCUAAGACCAGGAAUACUCCUUUGGGAUCUCAUUUGAAGUUUUCAAAGAAGCAAUCUUUGUAGACGGAUGAAGAAAAAUGUUACAUGUCAAGAGUACCAUAUGCAUCAGCAAUUGGGAGUUUGAUGUAUGCUAUGGUGUGUACCAGACCUGACAUAGCACAUGCAGUGGGAGUUGUCAGUAGGUUCCUAUCAAAUCCAGCAAAGGAGCAUUGGGAAGGUGUAAAGUGGAUACUCAGAUAUCUGAAGGGUACUUCAGAGAUGUGUUUGUGCUUCAGAAAAGGCAAUCUCACUUUACAGGGAUUUUCAGAUGCAGACUUGGGAGGAGAUUUUGAUACCAAGAAGAGCACCACAGGCUACAUUUUUACCUUGGGAGGUACUGCUGUGAGUUGGAAGUCUAAACUUCAAGAUAGAGUUGCUCUCUCAACCACGGAAGCCGAGUACAUAGCUAUCUCAGAAGCAGCUAAGGAGAUGAUUUGGCUAAAGAAUUUUCUCAAUGAAUUGGGGAAAGAACAAGAUGAUGCUCCAAUGUUUAGUGACAGUCAAAGUGCUAUAAGUCUUGCUAAGAAUCCAAUCUUUCAUUCUAGAUGCAAGCAUAUUCAAUUAAGAUACCAUUUUAUCAGGGAGUUGAUAAAUGAUGGAGACUUAUCUUUAUUGAAGAUCUUAGGAUCAGAGAAUCCAGCAGAUAUGUUGACUAAAGCUGUUACAACUGACAAACUGAGGCUUUGCAUUGCCUCAGUUGGCCUUCAAGGAUAAUUGAAGAUGAAGGCGCUACACUAGGUAAAGAGUCGAUGAACUCGUUGCUUACAAGGAGCUGCUAGAGUUUGGAACUUAGACCCUAAGUGGGAGAAUUGUUAGAGUUUGUGGUCUUAGUUCCUUUGUCCCACAUCGCUUGGUCUGUAAAACUUGUGUGGGCUUAGUCCCACAUCGCUUGGUUUGUAAAAACUUGUGUCUCACUAGUGUUAUAUAUAGAGACACCUUGUAAGCUUUUAUGUGCAAGUAAUAAAAAGUUCUCCUAGUGUAGCCGUGGACGUAGGCACAUACAUUGUGUGCUGAACCACGUUAAACUGUGUGUCUUUUUCUUUCUUCCCUUUAUUUCUUUCUCUUCUUUUAUUGCUCUAUACUAACAUAUAGAACUAGUCUUUGAAGUUUGUUUUAUAGAGCCUUGGGUAUCCGUUGUAAGUUUUCCAGAGUGGACCAUGGCACGGUCUGGUUUCCAGCAAGGUAAGCUAAACACAAUCUGUUUGGCGCCCUUGAAAGUUUGCAAGCCCGAUCCGAGGUUGUUGAAGGAAUUCGUAGUUGUUAAAGGACUCUACAGUUCCAGAGAACUGGACAACGGGAUUUGCGGUGCGGUGGGGAUUAUUGGGGACCGAAUUGGUGCUGCUCGUUACAGAAGAAGGGUUGGGAAUAAUAUCAGAGUUGUUGGUUGUGCUGCUUCGUACGCUUGCCAUUGCUUCCAUUUUCCAUGUUGCUUAAUUAAUUUCUUGGUUCAUAUUCAACUUGUAGGGAUUUGGCUUUUUGAUUUUUCCUUUCUUGUUAUGGAUCCAAGAGAAACCAGACUAUGUAUGAGUGAAUGUGAGUUUUAGCUCGAAAUACGAGACUACCAGGAAAACAACUACAAAGUGACUGAUUUUUCUCCAAACAAAACAGAAUAAGUUAUGUUUUCUCAUAUCCAAUUCACUUGAUUGUUAAAGUCUUUUUUACAAGUACUUUUCCCAACACCCAGUUAGUAGAUAAGAGAUUUCGCUUGGUCAUAGUAAUUUUAACUCGAUCACAACUCAAUCAGAAUAUUUGGCGCCCACCAUGGGAGAGAGGAAAUUUUUUCCUUCGGCCAUAAGAUGGUAACAACAAGGAGAUGCGAUUCCAUGUUGUCUACACGCUCCACCCGGGUAGACAUUAGCAAUGCAGGAAAUCAGAGGACAGAUGAAACAAUUACGCAAGAAAAUUAAGGUUUAUUUAAAGGUCUCGAGGUAAAAGCACGAAGCGGACAUGCGAUGGUUAAGGGAGGAGAAUGUGAACCUCAAAGCAAGGCUUUGUUAUCCAUCAUCCACCUCCACCACCACCAACCCCACCACACUAUCCAUCCUUUCAAGCACCUACACAUGCGGAAACCAGGAACCAAAAAAAUCAUACUUAGUUGUCCUCCUACGGUAAUCAGGAGGAAACCUCAAUCCACUCCAGACUUAAGUCCCUCAAUAUCCACAAUGAUGUCAUUCACUUGUACCCGUUUGUUGAUGGCAUCAUGGACAUACCUCUACCCAUAACUUGAAAGUCGUUGAAUAUUUAAAGAUAUGAUGGUACAUAAGAUCCCCAUGAUCAUGCACGAUGAUCAGAGAUUUCGUUCGGCCACAACUCAGUUGGAACUUAACCGAAACUCAAUCACAAAUCAAUCGAAACUCAACCAAAACUUAGUCAAAACUCAACCUCAACUCAACUAGAACUUGAUCACAACACAACUGAAACACACUUUUUCCAUUUAGAGUACUCAAAUAUGAGAAUUUAUUUAAAAAGAUGGAAACUACUUAUGUAAUGAUAUAUAAAUAAAUCAUAGUGGAGAAGAACAAUGAUGUCUACUGUCUAGGACAGAACGGGAGAAUGUGAGAGGAAUUAAAGGUUAUUCCUUGUUAGUGGAUUGAGUCACAAAACUGACAUAAGCAUGAAACAAUAAACAGUUAUUGUCAACAAUCAACAUAUGAGUACAUAUGUUGCACAAAUAACUUGACUUCUCGUCGGCACUUGAACACUUAUUGACUCAAUUGUGUCGAUUUAAAUCAAGUCAUAAUAGCACAAUAACAAAAAGACGAGUCACCAAUUUCUUUUAAAUUAUUGGAAAUCGCAUUCUAUUGUAUCUGAUCACUUUUACACUACUUUUUUUUUUUUUUUAUCUCAACUGUCACACUUCGCACUAAUAAUAGAGCACAACAUGUUAGGUGUGACAGACUAGAAGAAGAAAAUCUUGAACCAAAGAUCACUCAAACUUUUUUAUUUAUUUAAAAUAAGUUAUAUUGUUAGACUUUUUGUAGAAAUAUAAGAUUUUUUUGUCCAUACAUUUAGUUUUUUUGGCUUAAUUAAUAAAAAUUAAUAGUAACUUUUUUAUUGACAAACCUAAAGUUGUUUGAAUUAUAAUUAUUUUAAAAUUAAAUAAAACUGAUCGAUUUGAUUGGAAAUCAGUUUGAUUUCUAGUUUGUUUACUCAAUAAAACUUGUUGUUGAGAAUCAGUCAAAUAAUCCCCAAAACUAGUACAAACCAGUGUGGACAUAUUAAAAAAUAUUUUAAAAAUAAAAAUAAAAAGAUAUUUAGCUCAAUCCUAGGCUGAUCCUAGGGAAUUGAACAUGUCCUGAUUACUUCAUUUAAACCUUAACUUUACAAUAAAAACUUACUAAUAAAAUGAAUAAAAUUUAAUGGAGUUAGGAUCUUAUUAAGUGCUAAAAUCAUUUGAGAGAAUUUUUUCCUAGAUGUAUAUUGUGAAAAAAUAUGAUUCAUCAUCGUGUCUUAAUACAAUUAAAUACUUAAAAUUUCCAUCUACUUUUUAUUACUAUAAGCAUUACAAUAAAUAUUAUAUUUUUUUAUUUUACUUUAUUUUUAUCUAUAUAACAAACAUUUUAAAUAGUAAAUAAUAAAAAAGUGCUUAUUACUACUAUAAAUCUCUUUCUUCAAUUAAAAUUUAUCAAAUAUAACUGAAUUACUAAUUUGAUUAAAAUAAGUAAUUUUAAAUGGAAUUCACUUAAAUAGCCGCUUAACGUUAGCGACAGCCUUUAUAACACACCGUCUUUUUAAACUCUUGACUGGACUACGAUAAAGGUGAGUCUAGUCAAUUUCUUUUUAAACUCUGCGAUGCUAAAUUUAGCGGUGUCACUCACCUGAAUUUCUCUUUUUUGUGAUCUUUGGGGCCUUUAUCAAUGCCACAUCUCUUUCUUUCUCUCUUGAUCUCAUUUUGUGAUCUUUGGGGCCUUUAUCAAUGCCACACCUAAAUUUAGCAAUGUCACUCACCUGAAAUUAAGUGUGUAUUCUUUCUUUUGCGAAUUUUUUUUCAGAGUUGAUUUGACGUAACCCAAAAUCGUGUUUAAUGUUUUGAGGCAAUUUCUUUGUUUGCUACAUCAAUGGGGUUUCUUUAAACAAUAGUUUUGGAAUUUUCGUUUUAAAUUGUUUGCCUAUUGGCUACAUUGUUUGGUUUUACAUUGUCUGGUUCUUCUUUAUUCAAGAACGCAUCAUCUUGUACAAGAUUUGCACGAACUCAGAGCGAGAGCAACAGGAGGAAUUGUCUACUUUCCGCAACCAGAUAUGUUCUGAAGGGUAAUCCCUAGGACCUGGAAUGCAACUCACUUAGCAAGUCUUGCUUCAGUUAAAAACGGAUAGUAUAUCUUUUUCCUAAUCUGGUAUUCUUGCUAGAGUUAAAAACAGAUAGUAUAUCUUUUGAUUUUGUUUCCGGCAAUGCAAGAAAUCGAUCAAGCACAAAUGGAACAAUUACACAAGAAAAUUGAGGAUGACUUAGAGGUCUCAAGGUAAAAUUAUCACUGCCACAUCUCUUUCUUUCUUGAUCUUAUUUUGUUAAGUGUGUAUUUUUUCUUUUGCGAAAUUUUUUUCAGUGUUGAUUUGACUUAACCUAACUGGUGUGUUUCCUCAAGCAAACGCCCUUUGUCCCAAAAUUGUUUUUAAUGUUUUGAGGCAAUUUCUUUGUUUACAUCAAUGGGGGUUUCUUUAAACCAUAGUUUUGGAAAUUUCGUUUUAAAUUGUUUGCCUUUUGGCUACAUUGUUUGGUUUUGCAUUGUUUGGUUCUUCUUUAUUCAAGAACGCACAAGAAUAGGUAUUAGGGUAUAUAUAAACCCUAAAAGGUUGACCCUGACCAUGAAAACAUAAAAACACUGAUGCUACGAUGAGAUGAAUUCUUAAUUAUCAUAAAACAAACUAUUUGAGUUGUCACUUAAUCCAGUUGCAAGUUGAAUUUAUUUUUCAACAUCAGAAAAAAAAGAUGGUGUUUUUUUUAUGCUCAUCGAUCCUAAAUUGAAUGAUCUUUUUGAGUUUAACUUUAAUGUGACUAAAAGAUCCUAAAUUGAAUGGUGUUUUUUAGUUUAACCUUAAUGUGACUGAAAGAUGACUUUCUUUUGUAUUCAAUAUUGGGAAAAUACAUGAUACUUAUUUAAGCUUAAUGACCCUUAUUCACAUUAUAUGCUUGAGUUGUUACUUAAUGUGGGUGCAAGAUAAAUUUUAUAUUCAUUAGUUUGUCUGAAUUACAUAUUCAUCAUCGGAAAAAAAAUACUGACUUAGUUUUUAUGUCAUUUAUAAAAAUAUAUAAUUUAGUGAUUAAUGGCGAAUGGCAAAACAUCAUCGGAAAAUUCAAUACUGACUUAGUUUUUAUGUCAUUUAUAAAAAUAUAUAAUUUAGUGAUUAAUGGCGAAUGGCAAAACACUGUGGAAGGUCAAAAUUCCGCCAUAUAAACACGCCAUUGUGCCGCCAUGGCGGGCUUUCCUUCAUAAAUUUCCUGAGGCGGUUGGCAAAAAGUCCGUCCCGCCAUUCUGCCAUGGCGCUGCCUUGGCCGGUAUUUAACAGCAUUGACAUUCACCGAAUCAUGUUGAACACUAAAAAAGGCCAUUCAUCUUUAAUUGUUGUGACAUUUAAACAUGAUUUUCUUGUGAUAGUUUCCUUUCCUUGCUUCUGGCUUGAUUUAUUGUUCCAUGUUCAACUUCAAUAUACUGCUAUUUACUUUACAUGUAGCACUGCCAAUGAAUCUUUCAUUGUGGCUAUAUUUAAAAGCCAACUGCAUCUUUCUUAUAUGGAAAGUCUUAUCUUCAAAUUUAUUAUGUUUACUGUAAGUUCUUUUUCAUUCUUAAGGGAGGAUUUUGAUAAAGAAUUUCAAGAGCAGAAUUUAGGUGUAAAGUCAAGGUGUGAUGUUUGUGUAGAAUCCAUUUUAUUAUAAUUUCUUCUAAUUUAUUUUAUACUUUUAAUUGCUCAAGAAGAAGGAUUGUUGCACAACUAAUCAUUUACAAAUUAUAAAUUUCUUAAAAGCCAAUACAAACUUAAGCAUCAAUUUUUAAAAUUUGCCUGUUGUUUUAAGAGUUAGUGAGAAGUUUUUAUACCUCUCUUCUUUUGUGAAACUAUCAGCUCUAUUAUUAUCAUUUGCAAAUUAAUAUAAUUUAUUUAUUUUUUUGUUUUAUUCCGCCCUUUGUUCAUUCAGAUUGGCAAUGCAUCUGGAAAGAAGUGGAUAUCAAUGACUAAUGAGGUUAGUUUUCUUUUGUAGCCUUUCCUUUUUUAUUAUUAUUAUGAUUGUGAUGUCUGAUGGCUGAAAACUGAGUAAAUUAAGCAUGUGAGGAAGAACAUUUUUGUUAUAUUUGAAGCAGUUGGAAUUAAUUGUAACUACUUUUUCAUUUCUAAGCUGAGAUACUAAUAAUGGUAACUGAUAUAUUUACUGAUAUACAGGUGCUCAUCCCUUUAUUUCUCAUUUUCUUCCUUUUAGCAUAUAGAUGUAAUACCGAAGUAGCAGAACUGUGUCCUCUGAUUAGAAUUCUGGGGUGAACUGAGAUUUAAUGCAGAAUUAGAUUAAGAUACUAUGGUUCAGACUAUAGUAUUAAAUUAUCUUAUUGGGUACAUGAAAUUUAGCUUUGUUCUUCUGUUUUAGAAAAAUGGUAUACUCAGAAUUGAUCACCAAAAAAGAUAUAUAUGUAAUUAUCUUCAGUUUCUUGCAUUGUUAAAUCACGGCGGAUUUUAUGGUAGAUAACAUCGAUGAAACUUUGGUCUUUAAACAAUCUGGAUGACAUCCAUGUAGCUGACCUCAUCUAGUGGGAUAAAGUUUUGUUGUUCUUGUUGGAAGGACAAGAUAGUGUGGGGUUUUAUAGAGCCUUGGACUCCCUCAACUACAAAAUCUACCUUUUGUGGUGUGUUUCUCCUAAAGUUUUUAUUAGCGGCCAUGCUCAUUUGCUGAUGUUCAUUCAAAAUCAAUAUAGAACUAGUUUUUGAAGUUUGUUUCCUGUUUGAUUACUUGGCAAAAUGGAGCAUGAAGUUUGCAUAUAGUUUAUUCGUUUAGGUCUUAGCAAAUAGAAAAAAUAUUUUGGCCGAGUUCUAAGUUAACAGCACUUGUAUCUGACAGGAGAAGGUUAAAUACUAUGAUAUAGCCUCAGAAAAACGUAUAGAAUUUGAUAGAGCAAUGGCAAAAUUUAACAAUAAAAUGGUAAGCAAUCACUCAUUUUCCUUGCUAUUGAGUUGUCUCUUAUUUGCCCGGUUAUGGAAUAUUCAAUUUAUUUUCUGCUGCUUGGCAGGAAAGUGGGGGAGUUUGACGAAAUUGGUGGGUAAAGCCUCCUUAUUUUUCUGUAUUCAUUUUUUCUUAUGAUUCUGCCGUCAUUUUCUCUGGGUUGCAUAUUGCAAGUGUUUGUAUUGUUUCAAAUGCUGGGAAGCUUAGGGUGGUUCUUUGAGAAUACUCUAUUUCUUUUGAUGGAGUUUUGCAUCCAUUGAGAAAUUGGAAUUUAACAUUUAAUUGUUCAAAAGUGGAGGGAAAAAGGGUAAAUAGAUGAUAAAAGUUGGGUGGGAUUCUGUUCUUGAUAUUUAUGUGAUGGCUUUAGACUAUAGACCAGGAACUGAAUAAUGGGUCUAUAGGUUUAUGUGAUGUCCCAAAAUUGUUUUUAAUGUUUUGAGGCAAUUUCUUUGUUUACAUCAAUGGGGGUUUCUUUAAACCAUAGUUUUGGAAUUUUCGUUUUAAAUUGUUUGCCUUUUGGCUACAUUGUUUGGUUUUGCAUUGUCUGGUUCUUCUUUAUUCAAGAACGCACGAUCUUGUGCAAGAAUAGGUAUUAGGGUAUAUAUAAACCCUAAAAGGUUGACCCAGACCAUGAAAACAGAAAAACACUGAUGCUACGAUGAGAUGAAUUCUUUAUUCAUCGCUUGAAGAAGGAUGCUAUCUUUCAAUGUUGUUAAUGGUGGAUGGCGAUUCAUAGCGGAAAGUAAAAAAUCCGUCAUAAAAAUAUGGCAGAUACAGGGAUUGGGAUCUCUUAAGCUACACUUUCCAGAUGUACCUGUCAUGGCAUUGACUGCCACUGCAACGCAUGCAGUUCGUGAGGUAAUCAGAAUAUCAAAUCACCUUUAGAUGGUUUUUAUUUUUUAGGACAUCUUGAAGGCUUUAAGAAUUCCCCAUGCACUUGUUCUUGAAAGAAGCUUUGACCGACCAAAUUUGAAAUAUGAAGUGAUUGCUAAGACAAAGGAGCCAAUAAAGCAGCUUGGACAGUUACUAAUUGAUCGCUUCAGGAAUCAAUGUGGAAUUGUUUACUGCCUUUCAAAAAGUGAAUGUGUUGAGCUCUCCAAAUUAUUGAGUGAGAAAUGCAAGAUCAAAACAGUGUAUUAUCAUUCUGGCUUGUCUGCCCACCAGAGAGUAGCCGUUAAAAAAAAAAUGGUAAUGAUGGAGAGGUCCAUAUUGUAUGUGCAACUAUUGCUUUUGGAAUGUGGAUAGACAAACCUGAUGUUGUAAGUUGUGCUACAUCUUAAAAUUAUAAUAAUGCUGUUAUCAUUCACAAUUUCAUGAUCAACUUUGUUUAGGAAUUUUACACUUCAAGAAAGAAAUUUCAUCCUUCUCUGUAGAUAAUUCCAUGACUUGAUAGUUGAUACUUAUUGAUCACCAGUCUGCUGACUAAGAAAUGCCCUGGACAGCCUUUUUGUAAAGCCACAUCAUUACCAAAAACCUUCCUCUCAACCUCUCUGAACUUUACACAGGAAGUUCUUUUCCAAGCCAUUUUUUCUUGAUUGGGUUAACUAAAUUUCAAAUAAAAAUGAUAAUUCCUACAAUUAUUCAAAUCCCUAGUGAUCAUCUUAUAAUCUUAUUCUUAUCCAUCCUUCCCAAGUGCAUAAGUUGGAAGUAUAAACCUACUGCCUUGUAAACUUAAAUGUAAUAUGUAUACGUUAGUGCAGAACUUGCUUGGCUAGGGAAAAUGUAGACACUUUCAAAUAUAGGGAUCAGUUCUAACAGCAAGAAAUUCUUAUUGGUAUCCUAAAUUUAUAGAUUUUGUUACUCAAAUUUUCCUUUUUAUUGUCAUGUUUUCAGCGCUUUGUCAUCCACAAUACAAUGUCAAAAUCAAUCGAAAGCUAUUAUCAAGAAUCUGGAAGGGCUGGAAGAGAUAAUUUUUCUUCAGUUUGCAUUGCUCUACACCAGAAGAAAGAUUUUAGUAGAGUUGUAUGCAUGAUAAGAAAUGGCCAAGGAUAUAAAAAGGAAAGUUUUAAGACAGCAAUGGCUCACAUCUAUGUACUGUGAAAUUAAGGUAAUCAAGCUCCUUACAUUUCAACAUCUAUUUGUUUUUUACUUUUUUCUCUCACAUCUAUGGUCAGUUUAAUACCUUUGAAAAUGGAGUUAAAAAGAAUAAUGUAUGAGUUCUCGAUAUAAGUUUUCAUAUAAAAAUCAUCCAUAAAUUGUUCACCCGUGUUUUUAACGGUGUAACAAACUGGCGACUAGUGCAGAAAAGUGUUAAUCCCCAAGACUUUUUAUAUUUUAUCCUUGUUUGUAUGGGUAGGCUGAAUGCCGGAGACAAACUUUACUCAAACAUUUUGGAGAAUCUUUUGAUAGAAGAGACUGCAAGUAUGGAUCUAGCCCCUGUGAUAACUGUCUCAAGACUGUAUUGUGAGUAGAGAUUGGAAUUUAACAUUUAAUUGUUUAAAAGUGGAGGAAAAAAAGCAUAAAUAGAUGAUAAAAGUUGGGUGGGAUUCUGUUCUUGAUAGAUAUGAUAUUUAUGUCAUGACUUCAGACUUUAGACCAGGAACUGAAUACAAUGAUGGAAUUUCGAAGUUCUAAUGGGUCUAUAGGUUUAUUCCUCAGGCUUCAGGUGCUGUUUAUUUGGGAAGGAGGGGGUGUCGGAUUGAUAGUUACAGAUAAAUGUUCUUCUGAAAUAGUUUACAUAACUAAUUGCUAUGUUACAAUGGAUUUUUCAGCAAACUAGUGCUGUGGAUUAAAUCAGACGAGGAAUCAAGAGAUCAGUGUGGCAGACUAAUUCAAGAAAGAAAUUCAAAGCAAAGCAAAAGUGAUGCUAUGAAACCAAAGAAACCUCUUGCGGCCUUCUUCUUGCUCUUGUACAGAAGCUACAUUUGUUCCCUUUUUCUUUAUUUAUUCUGGUUACAUGUGAUCUUUUAUGAGGUUUAGUUAUUCUUUGUGUUAGAAUUGUUUGGGGAAAAUGUUAAUUUUAUCAGAAUUUAGCUAGUUUCAUGUAUCCGUUUUCUAGAUAUCUGCCAUAUCCAUAGCUAGCUUUGUAUAUUUUGAGUUUCUAACUUGAAAGGUAGCAAAACACAAGACAUGAUUUUUUGUAAUAAUUUACCCUUGGAAGUAAUGUCAUCUCUAAAGUAGAUGGGAUACAUUCUAUUUCAUGCAUUUUUAUACUUUUCAAUGUAUGCAGGAUUCUAUAGUAGAAUAUUGUUAGCUUCAGAGCAAUAAUUUUGAGGAGGUCAUUAUUUGAUGUUAGCAUAUAUAUACAAGUCAAUUAUUGCCGCAUCAUGUUCAAGACUAAAAAAGACCAUUCAUUUUUAAACAGGAUGAAUAUUGUGACAUUUAAACAUGAUUUUCUUGAGAUAGUUUCCUUUCCUUGCUUAUAGCUUGUUUUAUUGUUCUAUGUUCAACUUCAAUAUAUUGCCUAUUUACUUUAUAUGUAGUACUGCCACUGAACCUUGCAUAGUGGCUAUAUUUAACAAUCAACUGAUUCUUUCUUAUAUGAAAAAUCUUAUCUUCAAAUUUAUUAUUACAGGAAGUUCUUUCUCCUUCUUAAGGGAGGAUUUUCGUAAAGAAUUUCAAGAAUAGAAUCUUGAUGUAAAGUCAAUGGGUGAUGUAUUUGUAGAAUCCAUUUUUACUAUAUCACACGUAUAUUAAUUUAAAUUAUUCUAUAGAAAGUGAGACACAUAUCAUUGUUAUAUCACAUGAUGUUGAUAGCAAGCAUAUUUUUCAUAGACUUUAAGUUUAAUUAUAUUUUUCAUACUUGAAGUUAUAUUAAUAGUAAAAUAUCAAGGAUAAAAUUUACAAUUUUUUAAAAAGUUGAGGGUAAAAUACGUUAAAUUAAAAAGUCUAGAUAAAAUUUGUCAAAAAUUAAACAAAUAGGGAUAAAAAAUAUAAUUAAACUUAUAUUUUUGAAAAAAAAAUCUAUCAAUAUAAGUAUAAUUUCAUAUUAUACAAAAAAAAAGUUUAAAAAAAUUAUAAUUAAUUAAUGCAUAAAAAUAUGCAAUAUUUGAUGGGGUGUGAUUAUUCGAAUAUAACUUUUGUUUAAAACAUUGUUGAAAUAUAACUUAAAACUCAUUUAAAAUAGUUGAGCUUAAUUUGUCAAACUUAGUUUUUACUAGGUCAAUAAAAAAGUUUCUUUCAAAAAGUUUCAUAAAAUUAUACAAAUAUUUUUUUUUAACUAUUACAGUAAUCUCUAUAACCAUGAAAGUCUACUUGUCUCUACAAACACUAAAAAUGUACUUAUGUAAAAAAAACAAUAUUAGAGAAUUUUAAUUAAGUUCUUGUAUUUAUUAAGUUUUUAAUUAGAUCCCAAACUUUUAAAUCUUUUUAAUUGAAUUCUUGAAUACAUUUAUGGAAAAUUUAUAAAUAAUAAUUUAUAAACCAGGUCACUAGGUCACUACUCAGUACUCAAGUUUAACUAUUGAAAAUUAAUUAAUUAUUUUACGAAACCCUAAUAAAAAUAUGGUAGAACCUAAUUAAAAAUAUAUAUAUAAGUUAAAAGGACUUAAUUACAAACUUUAAAAUAUAUGAAUUUAGGGUAACUUACUUUGAUUUUAGUUUUAGUAUUUUAGUUUGGGUGAAAUUGCAGGACCCUGUGUAGUGUGUAGUCUCCAGACAAACAUGGCGAAAAAGGCAAAAGGGUCUCACUCUGCUUCUUCUGCCUCUGCAUCUUCCCGGUACCCAUUUCUCUUCACUUCCCCUUUCUUUCUCAAUCUCCGUUCCUUACUCUUUUCUGUUUCACUUUCUCUGUGCUCCCCUAUGGAACCCAGAAAAGGAAUUGUCAAAUAACAGAAUAAAGUUUUGAUUUUUUGUAUAUUUUUCUAAAAAUUCUAUGUCCGUGUGAUUUCUCUCAUUUGUGUUUUAGUUACUUGAAGUUUUAUUGUCACUAUACUUUGGAUAAGUUUUGCUCCCUUUGCUAUUCAGCGUGUAGUUGCUAAGGGGGGAAGUUUCUGUGAAAAAAGAGACAAUUGUGAUUCUGUCUUCAUUUUUUAUGUGUUGCAUUUUGGAAGUGUUUGUCUUUUUCAAAUGCUCGGAAACUGAAGGUGGUCGUUUGAGAAUACUUUUAUUUCUUUUGAUGGAGUUUUUCCCUUGAGACAACUGGAAUUCAACAUUUAAUUGUUCAAAAGUUGAGUGGCAUUCUGUUUUUUAUAUUGAUGUUACGGCUUCAGACUUUAGAACAGAAACUGAGUACAGUGAUGGCAUUUCGAAGUUCUAAUGGGUCUAUAGGUUUACUCUGGCCUUAGGUGUUGUUUUUUUGGGAAGGAGGUGGUGUCGGAUUGAUAGUUACAGAUAAAUAUGUUAUUCUGAAACAGUUUACAUAAUUAAUUGCUAUGUUACAAUGGAUGUUUCAGCAAACUAGUGCUGAGGAUUAAAUCAAACGAGGGAAUCAAGAGAUCAGUGCGGCAGACUAAUUCAAGAAAGAAACCCAAAGCAAAGCAAAAGAAGAACAAACAAAUGUUUGAUGCUAUGAAACCCAAGAAACCUCCGACAGCUUUCUUCUACUUCUUGUACAGCUACUUCUGUUCCCCCUUUUUUCUUUAUUUAUUCUGGUUACAUGUAAUCUUUUAUGAGGUGUUAGCUAUUCUUUGUGUUUCUCAUGUUUUAGGAAAAUUUGUGGAAAAUGUUAAUUUUAUCACAAUUUAGCUAGUUUCAUGUAUGUGAUUUCUAGAUAUCUGUCAUAUCCAUUGCUAGCUUUGUAUAUUCUGAGUUUCUGAGAUAUUAAUCUCUCUUGAAAGGUAGCAAAAUAUUAGUGGUUCAUUAUUAGAAUGAACAAACUGUGAUUGAUGUUAUAUGCUUACUUUCUUUUGCCAUCUGGCUGAUCCUUGUAAUAAUUUACCUUUGAAGGUAAUGUCAUCUCAAAAGCAGAUGGGAUUCAUUCUAUUUAGUGCAUUUUUACUUUUCAAGGUAUGCAGGAUUUGAUAGUAGAAUAUAUUUAGCUUUAGAGGAAUAAUGUUGAGGAGGUGAUUAUUUGAUGGUAGCAUAUAUACAAGUCAAUUUUGAAUGAAUCACCACAUCAUGUUCAAGAGAGAAAAAAAGACCAUUCAUCUAAACAUGAUUUUCUUGUGAUAGUUUCCUUUCCUUGCUUCUAGCUUGUUUUAUUGUUCUAUGAUCAACUUCAAUAUACUGCUAUUUACUUUAUAGUUUAUAUGUAGCACUGCCACUGAACCUUGCAUAGUAGCCAUAUUUAACAACCAACUGCUUCUUUCUUAUAUGGAAAGUCUUAUCUUCAAAAUUAUUAUGUUUACUAGAAGUUCUUUUUCUUUCUUAAGGGAGGAUUUUCGUAAAGAAUUUCAAGAGCAGAAUCCAGAUGUAAAGUCAAUGCGUGAUGUAUGUGUAGAAUCCAUUCUAUUAGUAUUUCUUCUAAUUUAUUUAAUAUUUUUAAUUGCUUAAGAAUUUCAAGAUUGUUGCACAACUGAUCAUUUACAAAUUUUAAAUUUCUUAAAAGCCAAUAACAUAAAAGUUACACAUCAAUUUUCAAAUUUUGCCUGUUUUAAGAGUUAGCGAGAAGUUUUUAUAAUUCUCUUUUUUUUUUAAACUAGCAGCUCUAUCAUUAUCAUUUGGAAAUUAAUAAAAUUAACAUAAUUCUUUUUUGUUUUAUUCAACCCUUUGCUCAUUCAGAUUGGCAAGGCAUGUGGAGAGAAGUGGAAAACAAUGACUUAUGAGGUUAGUUUUCUUUUGCAGCCUCUCCUUUUGUAAUGCAGAAGUAGCAGAACUGCGUCCUCUGAUUAGAAUUCUGGGGUGAACUCAGCUUUAAUGCAGAAUUAGAUUAAGAUAGUAUGGUACAGACUAUAAUCUUCAAUUAUAUUAUUGGGUACAUGAAAUUUAGCUCUGUUCUUCAGUUUUAGAAAAAAUGGUAUUCAGAAUUGAUCACCAAAAAAAAAAAAAACAUGAAAUCAUCUUUAGCUUCUUGCAUUGUUAAAUGGCGGUGCCAUGGCAGAAUGGCGCAGCUGAUUUUAUGGUAGAUGACAUCAAUUAAACUUUGGUCUUUAAUUGAUCUGAAUAACAUCAUGUAAUCCAUGUAGUUGACCUCAUCUAGUGGGACAAAGCUUUGUUGUUGGAAGGAUGAGAUAGCAUGGGGUUUUAUAGAGCCUUAGGUUCCCCGACUACAACACCUACUACAACUACAUUUGUUGAUCUUCAUUCCAAAUCAAUAUAGAUGCGGAAAUAGGUUUUAUUUUCCCUUGAAUUUGUGAAUAUAGAAUGCACAGGAUAUGAAUAAGAGUAAUAAUCUAGCCUGGAAAUCAGGGGAAUUGAUCUCCCUAUAAAUGCAAAUUCUAAAUAUGGUAAAGACAUAAAUGACAGCUAAUAAUUAUGUACAUAAAAUCCUAAUGAGUUGUACAAACAGAAUAUGUGAUUCUGCGUUGAUUUUCAACAAUAGAACUAGUCUUUGAAGUUUGUUUCCUGUUUGAUUACUUGGCAAAAUGGAGUAUCAAGUUUGCAUAUAUUGUAAUCGUUUAUGUCUGAGCAAAAAGAAAAAAUCAUUUUGGCGGAGUUCUAUAUUAACAACACUUGUAUCUGACAGGAGAAGGUUCAAUACUAUGAUAUAGCAACAAAAAAACGUGAAGAAUUUGAUAACGCAAUGGCUGAAUUUAAUAAGAAAAUGGUAAUCAAUCUGUUAUUUUCCUGUUUAGUGAGCUGACUCUUAUUUGCUCAGUUAUGGAAUAUACAAUUUAUUUUCUGCUGCUUGGCAGGAAAAUGGCGAGUUUGACGAAACUGAUGAUGAAUCAGAGUUUGAUGAGUAAAGCCCCCUUAUUUUUCUUGCUAGGUUGGAUCUGUAUUAGUUGAAACUAGUUGUACAUUCAGUUCUUGUCAGCUCCUUUCUGUCCUUGUUGAUAAUUAUCAUUUCUGUGUGUCAUUUGUAAAGUAUAUUAGUUGUAUUAAGAUGGUUAAAAUGGCAAUCUGGGCGUAUAUGUUGAGAUAUUGAAUCCUUAGUUAAACGCUAAGUAGAAAGAAAGCAUAACUCUUGCACUUCAUUGAUUCAUCUAUAUGUAACAACAUUUCCUUGUGUCAACCUCGUACUUAGAGAUACCUCCAAAAUAUUAUAUUUUUGUUUUUAUUAUGCAAUAGCUCUCUGCGGUAAUGUUGGAGUAUAAUUUAAACUUGUUCUUGAAAUACAUCAAAUAUAAUCUCUUAAACUCAAAUCCAUAAAAUAUAACUUUAUUGGCCUAACGCUUCGUUUGUGAGAGAAAACAAAACCUAGUAGAGAUGAUGAAUUUGCACGUGACAAAAGCAUUGGUAUGUAUUUAUUGACCUUUCUAAAUGGUACUGACUGCAAAAAUAAAACAAGGGCAUCACGAAUUUGGCGAAAGAACAACGAACAAUACAUAGCUUCACUAAACUGAUCAACUCCACCCAUUAACGAAGCAAAAUUCCAAAUAGGUCACUAUUUCUUUUAAUUUAGCAUCCACACAGGAACACAAAUAUUUGGAUCAGUUCUUAAUAUUCUUUGCAUGUUUAAUUCACUACCUACACCUCCUUCAUCUGUUUCUUGCAACAUAACCUACUGUCUUUGAGUUUCCACUUCAUGUGCAGUGGAUAUCUGAAAUGGUGUCUGCAAUGAAUUAGCAAUGCUUCUGACCUCAGCAAUCAUAGCAACCACAUCAUUAAGUCUAUUAACUGCAGAGCCUACACCCUGUGAUUUGGAAACAAUGAUCAAUAACUUGCCACCAGAUUGGUAGAAUAUUACAUAGCUAUGGUAAGGUUUAUCAGUUUAUGAUUGCUAUAAAAUUAGAUUGGUAAGAAAUUCAACAAAAAUCCAUACCACACCAGCAGCUCCAGCUGUUAUAGCCAUCGGUACUGUGACAGUGCUUAACCCCGAAGAGCACAUGACAGGGAUCUUAACAGCGCGUGAUAUAGAAUACGCUGCUGCUAAAGUUGGCGUUGCCUGCAAUGACCAGUGAUUAGAAAUUUGAUAGUUUAACAAAGGAUUUGCCAUAAUCAACUAUCAUUUACCAAUGCAACAAUCCGUAUGAAUGUAAAGAAACAUUAAUUUUUAAUUGCUUUAAGGGCUGAAAAUGUAGCUUCAGUAUGAAGUUUGUGGGGGAAAGAGAAAGGGCCAAUAGCUUAUCAAGUUUUGGAGUUCUGACACAUACAAGAGCGAAUGCAGAACAUUAAAUAAUUUUUAAGACUCUAAUAUGUUGAUUUAUGUUGUGUAAUGUCAUUGAGGCACUCAAUCAUAUUAUGUAGGUAAUAGGAAAAAGACAUUCAUAAGUGAAUCAAACAUAUUUUUCUGGUUACCUUCUCAAUCAAACCCAUAACACCAGAUUGUGUGGGAUUAGAACAUUUUCCUCCCUCAGUUUGAAUGAUAUCUACACCUUCUUGUUCCAAUGACUCUGCAAGCUUGACCUGUUAAGUAUGUAGAUUUAUUUAUAUGCCCAAGUAAAUAUUGAUAGUAUUGACAUAAUCGUGCACUCUGAAAUAAUCAAAAUGCUGCUUGUAACCUGAUCAGGGAGGCUUAGUGUGUGAGGAACAGUAACAGACAAGACUACAGAUGGAAGUAUCCUCCUUGUCUCCUUUGUUAGACCUAGAAUCUGCAAAGAAGGAUAAAUCAUUAAAAAAAAAUCAAGUGCAAGCAUCUAUUUAUGUCUGACAUUAAAUUUAGUUAUAAAAUGGGAAUUGACACUACUUAAGAGUUAGCAAGAGAAAUUCAGAUGGAACUAUUUCUGAGAGGGAGACAGAGAAACCAGAAAAAGGCCAAACAUUGUGACUACUACAUACAAAAUAUUUUAUUAACUUGUAUACAAAAAUGAAAAAGAAAGAAUAAGUUGACUAGAUGUAAAUACUUUAUAAAUGCCUUGCUCUACUCUCUCUAACUGCUGUCUGCUAAUUAUCUCCAAAUACUUUAUAUCUCUAUUCUUUACCGUUCAACAAAUAUAAUAGUAUAUCUAUAUUAUAUAGAUAACCAAAUAUUUUUAAAAUAUAUAUAUUGUGAUAUGUAUUAGCAUCUGACCCUCACAACCCCUUCCUCGCUUCUCUAACUUUUCCCUGCUGCACUGACACUAAUACACCGACAUGCACAUACAUAUAUAAAUUAUAUAUAUUCUUGUUCCUUAAGUUUUAGUGGCUAUCAUAAUCACUUUGUUUAUUAUGAAGCAAUCAAACAAGAUAUUUGUGCUCUGGGUGAAUUUUUUUUUACUUUUUGUCUAGUUGGAGAGUUCAAAUCCAACUUUCGGUCAAAUAUGUGUGGGGUUGACAAACAUCACAAAUUCGAGAUUAAUAAUGAAAUGCACUCUUUACCUUCUCUGGAGUGAAAAUUAUUCCCUUCUCGUAGAAUGAAUCAUAGUUUCCAAUCUCAACCUGUCGAUGCCAUUAAUCAUGUCAAGAAAAAAUCUCACAAGGUCCAUUUUAAUAUCUAAAUAUCUAACUUUCGUUUUGGAGUAUGAGAAUAGGCAAUAGGAUCAAACCAUUAGUGCUCCUGCUUCAACUGCAGCUGGAAAUGUUGCAGGAUCUACAGAAGAAACACAAACCUGAAAGAAGGAUCAAUCCUAAAUGGUUGAAGGAGGAAAGGAUCAAAAGAUUCAAAGCAUCAAAUUAAUCUCCUGACUAUACUUGCAUCUGUCAAAAAGGAGUUAAAAUGCAUUGUUCCAUCAAAUAAUGUGGGUACUUUAGCAUAUUUUUAAUUUGGUCCCUAUACAUGUAGCACAUUCUUAAUUGUUAUAGGGACCAAAUUAAGAAAGCAUUACACCUAUAGGGACCAUAUUAAGAAUACGCUAAAUAGAUAGAAACUAAAUUAAGAAUGUACUAUAUGUAAAAGGAUCAAAUUAAGAAUGUACUAUAUGUAUAGGGAUCAAGCUAGACUUUGGAUCUUCGUUACUUGCUUCAAUUACUUUGAUAAAGUCUAGCUAACAUUGAUUCUUCAGCAAUUAAAGAUACAUACAAGUAUAGUAAUAUACAUGUUCAAAAGCAACUUAGUAAAUGAUUAAGACAUCCAAUGAUUAUAAUAAACUUUAUGCCAAGGUAAUUUCCAAAUACCCUUUGCUCAGUCAUGUCCACAACCAUAUAAUCAAAGUGGCUAAGACGUCUAUAAGAAGGUAUGAAUUUACCGGACAAGAAGUUAAGUCAAUGGCCAGCUUUACCAACUCAGGGUCACAUGCUAUAUCCACGAGAGUUGCUCCACCCUGUUAGCCCAAAGGAUUAGAAAACAUACUCAUUGACAUUAGUAUGUUAGUUUAUAUUGAAAUGUGAAAUAUUUUACAGAGGAAAUCAAGAAGUUACUAUCUACAACUGAUUUCUUAUUAAAAAUUUAUGCAGAGGCAGUUGUCCUAACUCCAAAUUCUAAAAUUCAAGAGUCAGCACCGAGGAGAAUAAUUCAUAUGCAUUGGGUUAUCCUAUCCAUACGUUAGCUAUCAGAUACAAAACCAAUGCAUGGGUUCUAGAUCUUAUUUUUCCUUGGAUGAAUCGUGUAUAACCUACAAAACUAAAGAAACAGAGAAAAAAUAACAAGAGAGAAGUAAAAAAACCUUGUCUGCAGCAGUGACAACCGAGGCAACAUUGUCUUUAUUGAAAUUCUGCAAGCCUGAGAUAAUCUUCAAAAGAAGCCAAAUGUUUGUUAGCAUGCAUAAAACAUACUGAAAGCUUACACGCACAAGAUUUUAAUGAACGAAUUCAACCCCAUAUUUGACCAAACUCCCUUGCAAUAAAUUGUAUAUAUUUCAAUGCAACUCCUUGAUUAAAGCUAAUCUCUUUUUUUUUCUUUCAAAAAUCUAAAUUUUCAGCUGAUCCUUGAAAAUUUUUUCACCAUCAUACAUGCAUGCUGAAUUGCUGAGCACAAUGAACAUCAAACAAACCAGCCAAAGACACUAUACACAUGGAAAGGAAAAAAAAAAAACUACAUUUAGGUGAAGAAAACCAAACCAACAAAACGACAAGAUAGAAGAGAAAGUUGUAAAUGGAUUUUUGCUUUAGUUACAUUUAUUACCUUGAGAGCUCGUCGUUCGUUGAAAUGCUUCAAGACAUCUUCUCUGGUGGAUGAGAGAAUGGCUUUGGUAGUAAAGCAUGUUCUUCUUUUCAAGGGUAGAGAACAUGGCCUAGAAGUUGCAUCUGCACCCAGAAGAGGGUUGAGGUUUGGCUUUAGAGUGGUGUGAUGAGAAUAAGAAGAAGAAGAAAGUGGUGUGCAUGUUAAGGAAUACAUGUUUGUCUAUUGUCUGAUGCAGAUGUUAUCUAUGGGAAGCAAGGUUGUAGUGAAGAGCAGAACACAACAGAUAAGAUUGCUGCUCUUGUAGCUUUAUUUAAACUGUCAUGUUCGUCAGGUAUUUGGUCUAUUGGUAUUCAUAAUUUCAUAUUCCUAUUUUUUUUAGAUUUAAUUCCUUAUGAGUCCCUCUAGUUACAAAAUUUUUACUUUUAACUGUAUUUAAAAACAUCAAAUUUUAAUUACUUUUUGCCUAAUUAUUGUGUACAUGUGUUAGUUACCAUCUUCAAUCUUUACAAGAAAAGGAAUGUAUUUAUCUUAUUAAUGUAUAGUAUUUAUUAUAAAAUAAUUAAAAAUACUUUGGUAAAAAAAACUAAUAUAAAAGACAAUUUUAAAAAAUUACUAUAUUUGAAAAAAAGAAUCUUAUAUUUAAAAAUAAAGAUGAUAAAGUUUAAUAAUUUUAUUUUAUUAUUAGUCAAACAUAAUACAAUUUAAUGAUGUGACAUUUAAAUAAUAAUGUAACAAGGUGAAAAACAUUACCGUUUAAUAUAUAUAUAUAUAUAUAUGUUAACAUAACAUUAAG